rnacentral:lncRNA from 1 species
UGGGGUGUCCCGCUCGUCUGGGGAGGAGGAUCACCGGCUAAACCAGUAGUAUUCACAACUGACCCAUUCGAAAAAGUAGCAUUAUCUGCCGUCAAAUCAAAAGUUCCAGCAAAAAUAGUCGAAUUCUGACCCAAAGUAAAGUUCCCAGAGACAUUUAUCACUAGCUCGCAACCCGGAAACAUGCAAUUAACCGUAAUAUUGGGAAGAAUAUUAAAAUUCCCCUUCCCUUGUAUAUACACGUUAUCACUGAUAUUCAAAUUAGAAACUAUAUUGCAAGUAGUAUCUAACGAACCAACUCCUCCGAGAUCAGCUUCGCAAGUCACCGACGGCGGAUGAGGAGGCGGUGGCGGUGGCGCCGGAGGUGAGUAAUCCCGGUGAAACAAGAAUGAAUCGAAGUCGCCGGAGUCGUCAUCUAAGUCAAAAUCGGCGUCUCCGCCACCGUCCUGGACUAAAGUACCAUAACCGCAGCUAGGAAUCGGAAGCAAGCCUAUUAUUAGUAUCACCACUAAGAGUAAAGUGAAAGAAAGUACAGACAUGUCAAAAGGUGAAGAAGACGCCAUUGACUGAUGAAGAUGGGAAUAUUCAUCAGAAAUGAUGGUUGGGAGAGGGAGAAAUGGAUUGCAUCGGUGGAAUUUUUUGCUCGAAAACAAAACCCACCAGAAAAGUUUAUUAGUUUUUCGUUCCAAAUGCGGUUUAACUGUUUGAUAUAUGCCGGUGCGGAUGGAAAAAAGUGGCGCUUUGGGAACGGAGAAUGCCCUAGAAAAAGGGGUUUCUGGUGAGGAGCCAAAGACAACUACUCCCUAGCGGAUUCUGCAGGGCGAAGAAAAGAGGGAGGCAGUUUUUGGGGAAAAUUGAACAUGAGGAAAGCAAAAGAGAGGGCAAUAAAGGUAAAGGGUUAAGGGGGCGACUGAUUACUGAUUAGAUAGGGGACUAGAGAAAUUGGGGAGUUGAAUAUUGGGUUAGUGGUUUAAUGAGAGGAGGGUGAAGGGGUUAAAGAUUAGACUGAGAGAUUUUGAGGUAGAAAGCAUGACUGAUCACAACAAUCACAUCCGUUAAAAACUUGGUGUUGAAUUUUAUAAAUAAUAAAUUGUGAUGACGUUUUCUUUUUUUUGGGAUAAUUUCAGAAACUUGCCUUGAACUAUUCAUAGUAUCAGUUGGCUCCUUUGAAGUUUUUAAAAUCUCACCCACCUCUCUCAAAAUAUUUAGGCCUCGAAAAAUUCACACGUAUGAAGAGAUUAUUUAUUAAAAUAUAUUUCCUAAAAAAAAUUUCUUAACUCCCGUAUAAUUAUCUAUAAAAUUUUUCAAGGGCUCCAUCACUCACUAUAAUCCUUCUAAGUGGUUGAUUUUGACUAAAUUUAAUUUACCACGUUCUUUGUUGUCCCACCAUGAUCUCGAUAUAGAGAAAUAUGGACCAUUAUUAGAUAUCAAUUUAUUUUUCUCUAAUCUACAUAUUUUUGUUUAAAAUUUUAUUUUAUUUUUUGGUUAAGCAAUUAUUAAGAGCUAGGGUAAUGUUGUCACUUUUUGACCUGUGAUGGGAAUAUUUUAGUCUUAUAAAACUGAUAGGCGAGAUAAGUGAAAUUUUAAAAUUUUGAAUAGGAGAACUCAGUGAAAUUAUGCUCCUCAUGGGCAACUCGGUUGGUCUCAGCAAACCUCCUUAGAAGCUGGUGUCCAAUGCCCACAAGGAUUCAAGUCCUAUGGUUAUCGUGUUCGGAAGGAUGGGGCCUCUCCUCCCGGAUGGGAGUGGGAUUAGUUGGGCCCCGUAAGAAUUGGUCCGGACACCCAUUCCGUCAAAAAAAAAAAAAAACUGAGUGAUAUUAUGAAAAAUCUCGGGACAAUUUUUUGAAAUUUUGCCUUUCUUUUUUCAUCUUUGUCUCUCUUUCCCUUUCCUAUUUUUCUUGGCUUUCUGUGGAUUCUCUUUCUUUUUUUUUUUUUAAGUUUCUUUUUUGCGUUGGAGGAAUCUGACAGGAAGGUUUGACAAUUUUUAUCAAAACGAGAAAAAGAAAAAAGCAAGAAUGUUUGAAUUGAGAUUCUUCCUCUUAUUUACAUACAUCUUAUGGUAUCUUCUUUAUAUCUUAAUCAAGGAAUAGAGAGAUUCUUUUCUUUUCUGUUCUUUUUUGUCUAAAAUAGUGCAGCGUGAUAAGUGAUAGGUUGUUUCCUUGCACAAAUGUCUCAUGUUUGUGAUUGGGGCUGAUUCGUAAUUUAAUGAGGAGGAAGAUUAGAUUGACUCAUUGAUAUUGAGGUUGAGUGCAUGGCUGAUUGAGCCACUUUCAGUCAAAGUUUGCAAUUGUACUAAUUACAAAUUGUGAUGGCGCCCUUGUUCUAUACUUUUGUCUCUUUGUUUUGUCGGGGGAAUUUGAAUUAUGAUUUGACAUUUUUUAGAGAGAAAAAAGAGUUAAAAAAAAAUAUGAAGGAAUGACUGAGAAUGAGAGGAUUUUCAAGGGAUAUAUGCAUCCUUUUGUCUUUCUUUUUUGUCUACAAAGUAUGAUAAAGAUAAAUUACUUCUUUAUUUAUUGAUGGGAUGACUGAUGAGAUGUUUUAACUCUUUUUCUAUUUUCUUGUUUUCUUUUCUUCUGAUCAUAAGAAAUUUUCGGUAUUUUGUUAGUUCUUAAGUUCCUAAAGUAAGGAAACGGUCAAAAUAUAACGAACAAGGAACUCAUUGAUGCAAGCCUUUCUUAUAAUUAUUAACUUAAUUUUAAGUCACGAUGUGGCCUUGUUUGGAAUGCAUUUUUCUGGAUUUUUUUGUAGAAAAAUUACAGUAACGAUUUGAUAUAUGUGAGGUGAAAAGGCGAUUGGAAAAUAUGUUUACAAAAAAUAUAGCAAUUUUGCUGUCCAAACAAGGUUGUCUAAAAUAUUAAUUAACAACCAUUUUUCAAAAUUGAAAUUCUAUGUAUAAAUGCAGAAUCCCUCAAGAGGAAAAUGUUGAGAAAGUAAAAUUAUCAAAGGAUAUCACAAAAUGAUCUGGCUUGAUCUUGUUGACAAUGCCACCCACUAUGUCAGAUCGCGAUAUAAAGAAGAUGAUAGGCCUUCGCAAAAAGGGUUGAUAUGACUCAAUUUACAGGUACUCGCCUCGACAUAUACCAUAUGUAGUUAAUUUUCUAAUAUCAUAGAUAUCUAUACUUACGAUAUAUAAAGCAGGAAACUUGACCUAAGGUUUGGAUAGCAAAUUUUUUCAAAAAAACUUUUCAGUUGCAUUACAAACACAUUUUUCAAUUUAUUUUUUUAUCUCACAUACAUCAUAUCACAAAAAAUGCUAUAAUAAUUAUUCCAAAUAAUUAUUUGGAAUAAUGCUCUAUCCAAACAAAGCCUCGAGUUUUGAUGUAAAUGUUUUUUUGUCACUUUUUGAACUUUCAUUUUUGGCCUCGUACGAUCUAAAUUUUAUCAUGAUCACAACUUAUUUCAUUAUAAGUACCAAAGCAUAGCUUUUCAAACAAACUUAUUUUCAUUAUAACUACUCAUAAACACACAACAUAAUUAUACUCUUAAAAGAAAAAAUCUUAAAAGAGCAAAAUCAUGUUCAUUAAUUAAAAAAAUAUAUAUAUGUAAAAUAAGUUCAUACAAAAAAUAAUUUAUUUCUAAAUUGCACAUACAUUGGGUGUCUCCUGUAUGCUAGUGAUAAAAAUUGCAAAUGAAUCGAAACAAAUCAAGUUUUUGGUCUAAUCGAGUUAAGCCUCGACUCAAUUUUACCAAAUUUGAGCUCAUCGAUCUCUCAAUGUAAAACUCGAGUUCGAAUUUGACAGUAAAUUUGAGCCAAGCCAAGUUGGAACUCGAGCCCACUCAUGUUUUAAAAAAUAAUAAUUAUUAUUAUUUUAUUUUAUUUUUAAAAUAAUAAAUAAAAUAGUAUUUUUUUUCUUAACAAAUAAUAAAACAUUAGAUAUAUAUAUGUAAUUUUAUUAUUAUUAAUAUAUAUAUCUUAAUAUAAUCGAGCGACUCGCGAACUAAUGAACUAAGUUUUUCUGUGCUCGAACUCGACUCCAGUUUGAUGUUGACCAAACUCAAAUUGGAUUUUGAUCAAGCUAACUCACAAGAGGCUCGCAAGUAAUUUGACUCGUUUGCAACCCUACUAAUGACUAUAAUUGUUUUGAAAGACUGUUGGAAGAAAUUUGGGUUAGGUUAUAAAGUGGAAGGGAGUGUAAAUGAAAUAUACUAUAUUCAAAACCACUCAUUUAAUAAAAAAAAAAAAAAGUAUCAUACUAUUAGUUGCAUAUAAACGGUUAAAAACAUUAAACUAAGUGUAGAAUUAUGUGAAAGUAACUAUACCUUAGUUUUGGACCGUCGAAUUUCCUUAAAAUAUUUGUUACGGAUAAGGCCCCGUUUAUAUCUUAUCUUUGAAGUGAAGGAUAAGAGUACAUCAAGAAGUCCUAGUUUAUAUGCUUGGCCCCUACAGUUGGCUUUGCGGGUUUAGUUUUCAAAAACAUGUGUGUUGACUAACCUAAAUCACUUGUUAGCAUUGAAUAGGAGUUCAAAAAUUCAAAAGCAGAAAUGAAUAACAAUAUAGACUAGUGCACCUAAAGCUUAUUUGGUCCAAAACAAACUCUCUUUCAUGUAUGUGGUCCAAAUUUGAAGAGCAAAUCUCUUAGGCUUUUACACUAACACCAAAUGGCAUUUAGCUCUAACGAGUAAAAACCAAAUCUUCCAGCAAAUAAAGUGCCCAUAUCCCAUUGGCAACCAUUAUUGACUUUGGCAUCCUACAUUUCAUAGGGUAACAAAACGGACAAAAGGUAUGUGACUUUGUACAUAAAAAUUUAUUCCAGUGUAAGGUUGCCAUCACUUUCGACAUUUUUAUGCGUAUGAAAACAAAUUAUCAACAACAUUGAAACCUUCCAAAACAAAACCAGUGACUAGAUAAUUUGAUUAUUUGCCAAAUGAUUCUUUCUAUUUUGUGACUUUGACAAAGUCACAAAACCAAUUGGCUAUGAGUGAAAUGGCCCAACAUCUUUUAUAUAUAUAUAUAUUAUGGUUGGAAAUCCUUAGAAUAUCAAUGUAGGAUAUACAACUAACACGUAAAGCUAUAAACAAGUCGAAUCGAAUCGAGUAUCUCAUGUUUGAACUCUGUUCGUUAAGCCAUUCGAUCAACGUUCGUGUUCGUACGUUAAUUUCGAACUCCAAACAUGUGUUUGUGUUCGGCUCGUUAAGCAAAGUUUGUAUUCGUGUUCAGCUCGUUUAACAUAAACGAGCCGUUCGCAAACAUGCUUGAAAUGCUCGAAUCCAAAUUAUUUUAAGCCUUAAAUAUGUCAUGCAAAUCAUUCAUCAUUCUCAAAAACAAUUAAAGCACUAAGUGACUAAAUUCUAUUAUUUAUUAACUAUAUAACUAACAUUAACAUAAAAACAACAAAUAAAACAAAGCAAUUUGCCCUCCAAAUAUAAAAGUUCAGCCAUAAAAUUAAUCUUCAAAUUUGUCAAAUGAUAAUUAUGCCCAUGUUCGCGAACAUUCGUUAAAACUCACGAACAUGCUCGUGUUCACGAACGUUCAUUAAAACUCGCGACUAUACUCAUGUUCGCUCAAUUAUUAAUCGAACAAAAAAAUUCGUUCGAACUUGGUUCGUUUAAAAUUUCGAACGAGUCUUUCACGAACACGAACGAGUCGAAAUGAAUCGAGCUACCGAACAGCUCGGUUUGUUGAACAGCCCUCGCAAAUGUGACUUGACAAAUGGGUUUAAGCCAACACAAGAAAUCCCAAGUCACGGGUGAAAUAAAUGGGUAACAAACAAACCCAAGGCCCUGCUCCAAUACCAUGUUAAAUGACUUGGACUCUCAUCUCAAAAUCAAUUAGGUAUGAGUUGAGUGGCCUAAUAUCUUUCAUAGAAAUAUAUAUAUUUAUAUAUAUGGCUAGAAAUUCUUGGAAUAUCAAUGGGGAUAUACAACUAACAAGGAUUAUCUAAAGAAAAGAAAAAAAAAAAGCAGAAAAAACAUAUCUAAAGAGGAUGGCCCGCAUGAAACUUGUACAAAUUGGACAAGGUAAUAGGUUACUUCAAAGAUUUUGAUGGCACCUGCAGAUAUAUUAUCCUAAUGUAUCUUUAUUUUUCCCAACUCUUCUCCCUAAAAUUCUAUUUCUCUAAAAGGAAUGUAGUAUUUUCUUCUCAGUUGGAUCUACACCAAGUAAUGCAGUGAAAUGUGUCCAGCAGAGAAGGACUUUUGAUCUAGUUUCUGAGUUUUUGGAGAAAGUGAAGAAAAGCUGCUCUUUCUUCACAUAAUUAAUUAAUGCUUUAACUGUUUGAGGCCGUAUGGAGUGGGCCGGCCUGAAUUUUAGCACGAACUUACCUGGAAAUGGUUUAUUGUGGGAUUCACAAAGGUGUACACGUACUAAUGAAAACAAAAAUGUGUACUUUGUUUUGGACCACUGAUCCUCCCGAUUGUGACCAUUAAACCCCUCCAAUCAAUUAUUUGUCAUGCAAUUAUCCAAGAAGAAAAUAGACAAUUAUUCAUACUCUACGAGACGGGAUAAGUUGAUUGUGAUGUUCUACAGAAAAAUUUUUACGUUUUUCGUAAAUACGUUUCUCAGUUACUUUUUUACCUCACAUACAUUAAAUCAUUAUAGUAUACAUAUAUAUUUUUUUACAAAAAGUCCUAAAAAUAGCAAUCCAAACGGGUCAGGAUUUCUCAUUUCAUUUAAAAUAAUUAUUUUAAAUUUGAUUAGUAUAGGACUAUUCAUCAAAUACUACGAGGGUAAUUCUUACAUGAAUUUGUUGGCAACAGAUGGGGAUGCAUGCUAAUAAAUUCGUAAAUUACAGCCCCAUCCCCUAAAUCCCAGACAGUACGCGCCAAAAGAUCUCACAUCAAUGGCCAUUUGUUGGAGACAAUCGCCAAAUCUGCAUGGUCCUCCUUUUCUUCAUUUCCUACGUACUUUAAUACUAAAAAUUUAAAACCCAAGUCCAACUUUAUUUUUAGAGGAUAAGGUUCUAUCCAACACGAAACUUUUAGGCCCUUAAAACAUCUCCACUACUAUAAAUAGUUGCCAUGAAAAGUUGCAUGUCUUAGCAUAUUUAUAGUGGUACAUAAUAAACUUAUAGUUACUUAAAAGAUAAUCUACAUAUUGACACGGAUAUUCGUUAAAAUAGGGUUCAGGUAUUAAUAUCUCGACCAAGCAAAAUUAAAUAGGAAAAGUGUAUAAAAAGUAAGACGAUAGUUGUUACGAGUACGUACCUUUACAUAAUAUAUUGAUUGAGAACGAUUUAGGUGUACAAAUAAAUGCCCAUUUAACGCCUGUGUCGGGAAAAUACUAAUUUGAAAUUUAGACAACACAAAAUCUUUUUUCUAGCUGCUUCUAGUGCUGCAUGGAAUGCUUGAGAUUCAAUAGCCAUUGCUUCUUCUUGCAGCUGAUAGGAGCGUGGUGGUGUUACUUGUCAGAUACUAGGAGGUUGAAUCUUGGCACAUUUACAGCCAAUACUGCAAACUUCACCUGUUCACCCCAAAUAAUUGUACUGGUGUCACUAAUUGCUUUGUCUACCUUGUUUCCAUGUCUUAAUUGUUCCUCCACGUACUGCCUUUACAUUCACUGAUUAAAUGCACCUACUUCCGUUUGCAAUUGACUUUGCAAUUUGUGAUUCUUUUUUCUCACGUAACUGAUCAAUUGGAGUUGAAUUGAUGUAUCACUGCUAUUAAUGGAAGGCAAAAUGAAUAAAACUAAUCAUGCAAGUAUAUUAAAGAGAAUGAUGUUACUCAAGUUCAAUAACUUGAGCAAUCAAGACUAGAAAGAAAUUUAAGAUUUCUUAAUUUCAUUCUUGUUAGUAACAAUUACCAACUUUUUUAAUUUCGUCUGCUUCGUGCAUUAAUUUGCACGUACCUGCAUGCAUGCUUAAUUUGUCGACAAAUGCUUAACAACACCCAGUUAAUGACGGUUUAGAAUAUAUAUAUAUAUAUGUAUGUAUAAUAGUAAUUUAUAAAUUUUUUAGGCAGUACAAUAUUGGCAACCUUUCUAACUUCCUGGGAUUCUCUGCAUCUUUUUGGAAAGAAUGUACCGAGAAAUUCAAGGGAUUAAAGAAACACUUCUUGAUUGCAUAUAAGGUCUCAAUGAUGAUUGUUGUUACUUGUUAGGUCCUCCAAACAUAUAUAGAUAAGUACAUGUGAAGUUGACGUCUACUUUCCUCCUCGAGGCCUCCACUUUUUACGACUAAAAUCCUGCAGGACUACUGCUCAAGGAACUGAAGGCCAUGGGAACAAACAAGUUCCAAGGGCAUGUCAUGGAAGUUAGGGAAUCAACAACACCCAAAUGAACAAUCAUUUCUAGGGUACCCAGAAAGUAGGAAGGUCAUUCUUUCCUUUCCUUUUUCAGGGGAACAUUGAUCAAAGCUAAGAACCAAAGAUCAUGUGAUGUACUCAGUAUAAACUCACCUUGGAUCAAGAUUUUGUUAUAUUCAAUGUCUUAAUAUGUAUAUAUAAAUGUCAUAUGAAGACUCAGUAUUACUUUACACUAAUGUUUAGAUUAUCAAGACGAAGAAUUGAAUAAAUAGGUGUAUGUCAAGAUGCAUUGCACAACGAAAAUUCAGCAUUCAAGUGGAGAAAGGAAAAUGAGCAGUAAUAUCAGUUUCUGUCUGGUUUUUAAGGGGCAAUGACAUUAAAUUACACUACGUUAACACAGAAUGUUCCAAGGUGGGGCUAAGCCAAUUUUGGAGCCUGCUAAAUUUUACUAAUGCAUAUUUCCUGGCCAACAGCUUCACGCCCCAUUUCACAAACCAAGGUUCAAACCUGGUUGCUAGGAUUGAGGCAAGGAGGGAUUAUGGAGGAAGGGGGGGGGGGGGUGUGGGGGUGGGAGAGGAAAAAGAAAAAGCCUAAAUCUUGUUGAUUCCUGAAGAAUUGUACGUAUUAGUUAUAGCAGGAAGCAUACUGUCGAUUUAACAAAUGCUGAAGGAAAUACCAAGGCAAGCUUAUUGAUACACAAGAUAGAGAAUAAACAAGUUAGAAUGGGGGAGAAAACUCGCAGUUUCGGGCUAAGAGAGAUGAAAAACAAUAGUAGAAACAAAAAGCAGGGGAAGUGUAUCUGUAAUAUUCAUGUACAAGACAAACUACACAGAAAUUGCUCAAUUUUGGCAACUGCUCUUGGAAGUUGGAAUACACCAACCAAAGAUCACUUGAUGAGGAAGAAACAUCCUCUUAAUCUUUUCAGUGCAGUUCUAAUGGCUGACCAGCUUGACAAAGUUGACAGGAAUCAAGUGACUAAAUGCCAAACUUGUUGGCUCAUAAAAUGGCGUACUUCAGACAUAACUGCAGCUACAUAUUCAUAUAUUGACUUAAAUCUUGAAAGACAUCGUUUUUUCUUAGUUUUGUCAGCGCUCUUCUUUCUAUUUUUCUUACCCACUCUUUGCUUACAGAAUACAGCCUCCCAAUCUCCUCAAGUGACUUCCUUUGAUGAGAUCUAAGCCCAAACCUUAGGACUAAUACUUGCCUUUCCCGUGGCUCUAAGUCUUUCAUAAGGCCAUACAUGCCUUGUAGCAUGUGCUGUCUCACCACUGUUUCUCCUGGGCUUCUCAUUGAUGUAUCAGAUAUGAGUUCCUGCACCAAGAGUUCCAAGGCCAUUAACCUCAUAAACCUGUGUAGGGGAACUGUGGGGGAAAAAAAAAACUCUUGUGGACUAUAAAAGACAAACAGGCGCAUCACUCUCUAGUUAAUUCCAGCCUAUGGAUAAAAUACUUAUAAUAACCAAAACAUCUAAGAUGCUAUUCAUUUAUGAAAAUUUCAAGAAGCAUGCUGAAGAAAGUUGUCUAAAUUAAUCAGAUCAUCCUUGCUUUCCUCUGUAAGAAAUCUACAUAAUAUAUCAACACACACACAAUAUAUAUAUAUAUAUAUUAUAAUUUUAGUUCGAUGUUUACAACAGAAAAACCACAAAAAGCUAUUUUAUGUUUUUAUACAUAGUUUGAGACCAGGAAAUUCACCCAAGAUAUGGUGCCCUAAAAAAAAGUUGCUUUGUUUCUUCUCCUCAGGGGUACCCAAAAAGCAUAGGGCUUCCUUGUCUGUCUGAUGACAGUACUAAACAUGAUUUUUAGAGAUACCCCCAACCCCCCCCCCCCCCCCAAACAAAAAAAAAUCCCCAAUAGGAUCCCUCGGACAACCAUUUUCUGACAGCCAAGCCAAGUGGCACUGUUUCUGAUGAGACUAAGCAAACAGCUACUAAAUUAAAAACCUGUCAUAAAUGUAAUCUAAACAAAUAUAAUCAUCAAGAAGGAAGAUUCUAUAAAAUAGAGAAUGCCAUACGUACUAAACGUUUUGCACUGCUAGAGUCUCCCACUUUCUGAUCGAUCGAACCAACAAUCCUGAGGCAUUUGCUCACUGACAUAAUUUUAGCAGUAGAGAGACCAGUGAACUUUGCAAUUUCAUUAACAUCCGGAUAUUUUCCGUGGCUGCUCUUCAGGGCCUUUCGAGCUUUCUGUAUUUGACUUAUUGCCUUGCUCAAUGAUGACUGCAUGAAGAUCAGAAUAAAAGAAGUGGAAACUCAGGUUUCUUUCUCCUUGUAUGGACUUUUAAAAAAGAGACGAUCUCACGAAAAUUAAAAUCACAUACAGGAAUUCUAAUUCCUCUUGCAUGUUGUGCUACCACCAUUGAGAUUGAUUUCCUUAUCCAAUACUGGACGUAGGUUGAGAACUUGUAUCCCCGUGUGUGAUCAAAUCUUUGAGCUCCUUGCAGGACACCAAGAUUUCCAGCCUGACAAACAUGGUUAAAACCUAGAAAAUCAAUCUUCAUAAACAGAAUAAGAUAUAAAUGAGAAUAAAAUUUAAUAGGACCAGACUCAGUUUCUCUCCAAACUAUUGACAACUUUUCUCCUCAUUCCUGACUACUGUGUCUAGAAUUAAACUGUUGGAAACAAAUACCUGCCGGAAGAAAUGCUUGACUAAAUAUCAUUAAGGGGAAGCAACUACUUCCUUUUUGGUGUCCUGUCAAUCUAAUUAUUCUUCCUAUUUUCACACAAAUGCAAGACAAACAUUUUUCAUCGCUGAAAGACAAUUGCAAUUUAAUUCAAUCGACCACAUGAGUAGACAAUUAAACUAACAGGCAGGCUUGCUUGGGUUCUUUUGGGACAUGGAAUGAGGUUUUGAUAGGAUUGUGAUCUGGCAAUAUCACAUGUUUAAUUCACUUUUGUACAUGGAUCACUUAUCCUAUUUUAUUUCCUCAACCAUGCAUGAAUUGAGUCAUGCUCCAUUGAAAGGGGAUUAUUAUCUUCUUCUUGGCCGGAGCUACCUAUUUAUAAUCCUAUAGAACCAAACAUGAGACUCAUUCAAAAAGAAGAGACAACCGGCAUAACCCUCGGACAACUGAGCCUUAAGAUGUCUUAAUUCCCUCAAUCCACUCCACAAGUCAAUUCAACCCUAAAAGCAUUUUUACUCUGAACAAAAUCAACCUUGACAGGCACAUCUCAGAGCAAUGUUGGACUCGGUUGAGUUGUUACCUAACUAUUUAUAAAAACUGAGCUCGAAAAUUGAGCAGAGUGCCAAGGAGAAAAACUUGGUUCAGAUUGGAAGCACCGAAAACCAAGCAUAUAGCAAUUCAAUCAUAUUUUCUUAUGUCUUGAGUAGGCAUUUUCUGUAUUUUCAAUAGCUUGCCAUAUUCUAAUUUGAAACUUUAUAUCACAAUGGCAACAAUUAAGUUUAAAUGAGAACAUAUGGGACACCAAAUGUUUAACUAUAUUGACUUUUCAGAAUAAAAGACAUAAAAUUGUGAUCUCAAAUGCAUGUCAAUUCAUCACCAACAGAACUUUUAAUUUGGACAGGCUUGGCAACCUAGUUGGUCCAUCUACACAUAAGAGAUCCCGAAACUCAGUCACGGUUGUGUCAUUAGAAACUUGUAAGAUUUAUUGGCUAAUUAAGCAGUUAUUAAUGUAUAGUGCUGAACUGAAUUUACCAAUUAGAUUAAUACCAAACAUAAAUUGAAUCAGAUUCUCAUUUGCUCAUGAUAACUAAAAUAGAGCCAGUUUCUGCCAGAUGGUUAAACACAUUUCACACUUUUGAAAAUUAAGUGGAGUUUGAAGAACCUACUUUGGCCAGGCUGGAUUAAUUUUUUGUCACAAGCUAUCUCAUGAUGAUCAUCAGACUAACACUUUAACGAAAGGAAUAAAGAAGAGCGGGAACGACCAAAACAUAGCUGAACACAGUAAACUCCAUAUUACCAACCUGAACUAAAUCUUCAAAGGCAACUCCCAGUCCCCUGUAAUUUCUAGCAAUGUAUAAAACUAAAGAACGUGUGCUUCUUAGAAGCUCAUCCCUACAAUACCAACCAAACUGCAGAUGUUGCUGCAACACCUGUAUAUUAACUUGAGCAGCUUCUGCCCAGUUACUCAUGCCAACUACCUGUCCAGUGUUCUCUUCAACUAUUGUCCUGAUUCUUUCAAGCUCAGAAACUAACUGCAUGUAAAAAAUAUUGUCCUCAGCCUGUGUGAAAUAUGAGAAGCAGAAAUUAGUUAUCAGUGAAAGACAACAAAACCACCUUAACACCUUGAGACAUUUCUGCCUCAGUUCGAGCAAUUUUCAGGCUUCUACUUCUAGAAUCGGAUGAUUUCCUCCAGGAGAAAAUUCAACCUGUUGAGCAUCCUCUAGCGUACUUGAGUACUUUUCCUGCAUAAAUUUACCAUUUCCUUUAUCCAAUGGCCUCUUUCUUCUUGAUUUUCUUUUUCUUUCUUUACAGAGUGAACAACCUUCUUACCCACAACAUCUUCCACUGGGCAAUUUAUUUGAGAUGCUUCAACAGGCUUAGUUGCUUUGUCAGACAGAUCAUAUAAGGUUGAGGGCUUAAGCAUCCUACAUAGACAGGUCUGGAAUAACUCCAGAGCCCCAAGUCUUUCCAAUUGCACCAGAAUAUCUUCUUCCAACUUAGGACCCCUGAAUCUGCAAUUGUCUCCUCCAACACAUCAAGAUUUUUCAUCAGUAAACCAAAAUGUAAUGCUUUAGUAUUCCGUAAACUUGCAAGAUAUAUUGAAUUGUUAUUCUCUCUCGAGCUUGAGAUAUCAUUGUGAGCCAUAUUGCAUGAACCAUGGUAGGACCAUCUGCUAACUGCAUCCUGGAUGAACAGUUACACAUAAGCAUCACAAGUUAAAGUCGGGAGACAGGGAAAAGAAUGGAGAAUAUGAAACUUGAGUAUGUUACGCUGAGAACUCAGCAAUUAUUGAAAAGGGAAAGAAACCUCCAUGUCUUCUGUUUCUGAGUUAUCAUUCUCACGGGCUUGCGUGGCUGACGAACACAUCUUGACUCUCAUUGGAUCACUUAACCAGGUUGUAGUAUCGCCGUAGGCAACAGAAAAGGAAGACAUUUUUGCUGACUCAUAAACGGCCUCCCAGCCUUUAACUGCACCAUUUUAAGAGUAGGUGAACUAUUUAACAACUUCUGCAUGGGACAGAGUUAUAAAAGAAAACAAGAACAAGUAAAUUUCAUGCAAGCUAAACACAACUAGGCUAGAAAUCCACCUGAAAGAAUAACAAACAUAGAUGAUAAAACAACACAUGCAAAUACUUCAAACCAGAAAUUGCACAUGAUUUCCUGUCAAGAUGAACAUUUAUAUGAUAUAUGUCUAUAGCAACUACUACAAAUUCAAUUUCCCAAGAGCUUGUGAAAAGACUAAAAAUUCAUUAGUAAAACGGUGCAAAACUCCAAAGGUACUUAUAAAAUAACUAACAAGAUACUAUUUCCCAACAAAUUAUGCGUAGCCUUAGAAGCACAAGAUUGACCAAUAUCAAUCACCAGAUACGUUCGGUUCCCUUCAAAAUAUUGUCCACCUAUGAAACUAUGAGUCUUGACUGUGGACAUCCAGAAAUUAUGAUGAUAGGAAAAGUGAGAAAAUAAUUGCUAUUAAAAGACAUGAAAAUGAAAUGGAAUCCUUCUUAUUUUUCAAAGAACUAAUAGGAAAACAUUACAGAGAAACAAAUUGCAGUUAACUUGAUACAACUGGGCCCCAAUUUUUUUCCCCUUUUAAAUGUUGCUUUUCGCUCCUCGAAUACUUAAGACAAAAACGUUGCUGAUAUUGUAAUUCAAAAGGGUACUGGUUUGAUAGUUAAGUUAGUAAGGUGACAUUGGAACUAUUACUUGCUGUUGCAAGGCUGCUGCCCGCUUCGCUCAUGAAAGAUUUUUUUCCACAAAAAGCAAGAUACUUGUCCAGAGGUAAUGUUAAUUGCACAGCAACUGAUAAGAAGGGAAACAGUUUUAACAACUAAUAGGAAGCAAACAAUGAUCAAAUGUUAUACAAUAAAAUAUCCAAUGCCUCAAAAAACUGUAGUAAUGGAAGUAUGCUACCUUAAAGAAUUUCAGUGCACACAAAUGGCAUGAAGGUCCUAUAGGAAACUAUUUACGAAUAAAGAGCAUGACCCCGCCAUAUUAAUCUUCUAGGGCCUGAACUGCUCAAAUUUCUCCCCUGAACUAUUUGUGUCUACGCUACAACCAGAAUAGUCCUAAGAAUGAUCAAAGGCGCUUACUUGAAACCUACACCCUCUUCCAGGCCCAUCACACUUACAAGGAACACAAAAAACAAGAACUGGACCUUCAAGCAAAUUAUCUAGCUGCCUCCCAUUCUGUUCUUGGAUCCUUCUUAUUUGCAGGUCAUUUGCAACAAAUUAUCUCUGUGAUAUACGUCAAACCACAUCAAAUGCCUGACUAAUCUUGCAGCACCCGACCUUCUCUAACAAUUGUAUUUUGUCGAAACCACUCCCCAGUCCCGAGCACCCAAGCGACACUAAAAUUGUUUUGAGAUUACUUUAUCAGCAAUAAGAAUUUUGGUGGAAAUUGCAAGCUUACCUACUCUAAAUCUGCAAUAAGGACCCAAUAAACCGCUGAAUAAUAGACGUUUUCUCCUUUACUAUCUUGCACCAAGGACAAUAGAUUACUAAAAAUGGCAAACUUUGUGUGCAUAGGAAAAACUCUUAUUCCCAGUUUUUCACAGGAGCAAUCCAGAAUACUAGUCGACGUGAUACUCAGCUCCAUGAAUAACCAGUUUCAGAAUAGACCCUUUAUCACUAAGAGCAGGUAAGUGCUACUACAAGAAGCAAAUGGAAAAACAGGAAAUAAAAAAUACUGUGUUUUCUCUGCAGCCAAAGUUAAAAGAACCCACGUGAAUUUGAGGAGGGCCAAGAUGAUGUCUUGGGUGGAAAAGGAAAGCUGGAUUGAGAAACCCCAUUUCGGAGUCAGCCUAAAACCCAUACCACGAGUGUACUCGAAUCCCAGAAAGAAGGAGAAUGGUGCCCAUUAAAUCUCAUGGCGGUUGGAAGUUAAGGUGAGAGUCGGUGGAUGCACAUUGCACAAGUCGUGUCAGCUCUCAGCCACUGGUUCCCCAUCUCAAGCCAGAGGUCAAGAGGUUCGAGUCCGAACUUUGAAUAUCUCCCGAGCCGUAAGUAGAAACUAGAAUUCUAACCUUUUUCACCAAUGUAUGCUGCAAUACUUCCCAACCAAAGCUUAAAAUGGUUAGUGAGAAACUUUGCAAAUCUUACCUUUGACAUCAAAUGGACCAUCCAAUGGGCUUUAGAAAAAUCAAUAGCUGCCUUAACUGAUUCUUAUUUCCUAAUUGGAAGAUAGAUCAGCGUCAAUUGUGAUGCCUUUGAUUUUUGUCCCUGCACUGCAGGUAAACAUACAUUUUUCUUGUUACUACUUGUAAAUAAUUGGACUGUUGGCUGAGUACUUCCUUUCCCAACAAAACCAAGGAAGCUAAGGGUGCAGCCAGCAGAAAUCUCGCAUUAUUGAACUUUUCACCAAAUGGAGCCAAACUUGCUGAAAAGAAUUUAGCCCAAAGUAGAGAUCUUGCAUUCAAGGAUAAGUAUUACUGCAUCCUAGCCCAACUUUAACAGCGCCAUGCAGCCUUGGACUAAUACCUUUCAAACCUACGAGUCUUCUCCACACUUUUUUGUUGGACUUGUAUCGGUUGUGGGCGCCAAUCCUAACAAGUCUAUGGGCUGUUUACAUGCAAGCCCUUGACAAACUUUCAUGUCUCCCUUGCUAAAACUGAAAGAAUAAAUUUUAUGUACACUGAGUGAGUGAGUGAAUGAGAGUGUGCAUACAAUAUUUCAAUUGGAUCCACAAUACAUACGUAAAAUUUAAAUUUAGAUUAUAUAUCAUGCAUCCAAUAAUAAAAGUGCAUAUAUAGUUAGUGUAUAAAAAAUUAAUUCAAAAUAAAAAUAUAAAAAUUUAAAGAUUUUAGAUUCCUUUAAAUCUUCGGAUUUUAAGAAAUCUAUAUAUAUAUAUAUAUAUAUAUAUAUAUAUCCCCUCCCUUCUCUCCCCUCUGUAUAUAUUUCCUGACAGUGAAUAUAUACUAUUAUCGUUAGAUUCAUGGCGCAUUCGUAAAAGUUAAAAUUUUAAAUUUUGUAUAAUUAUUAUUCAUCUAAAAAAAAUAGUGUAUAUGCUCUCAAUGUAGUAAAGAUUAAUUCUAUAUAUGUUGUAGUAAUUUAAUUUAUAUGAGAUAAAAAAAUAAUUUAAAAAUAUAAAUAAAAAAUUUUUUGGAAGAAAAAUGAAAUCCAAACAAGGCCCAAGCCGCCGGUCCGGUUGUGGUUUGUGGUUGUGGAUAAGCAUAAACGUGAGAUGGGUAAAGUGAAAGCAAAAGCAAAGCUAGGAAGAAGAACAAAAGAAGAGUCAAAAUCAUGAGGAUCUCAGGACCCCCCGUGGGCCCCCACUCAAACCCAAGCCAUAUCCGAAAACUCCACUCCACGCGUUGACACGUCGCCCUCACGCUCAUUAAACAGGGCAGCUGACUAUGCCACCAACCACGUGUACCCACCCAUUGACUAUGGUGCUCCCCUUGCACGUGACCGGAUGCCACGUCGGAUCCGUACGGAUAUUUUUUGUGGUCGCCCAAAACCAAAGGAUCAUCAUGUGGCUUUUCAUAUUUUGUUUGUUAUGUCGUAACAACUUUUUUUUUUUUUUUUCCCGGAAGCCAUAGAUGAAUUUUACAAAUGAUCGAGACUUUAUAAUAUUUGAGCACCGGCCCAAUUAGUUAUAUAAAAUGUACCAUGACGGAGUAACAAAAAUUCUCUCCUUAUCUAUAAUUAUACUUAGAGCAUAAAGUCUAAUUCGAUUACAUAGUUAUGUCGUAAUAACAACUUUGGUCCUUUUUGUUCUUCAAGAUUUGUUGUCAGUGGGUGCUUCAUAAGCAUUAGUGGUUCUUAUUGUAUUGCAGAUUUGUUUGUCUUGGUUUUUAUGAUUUUUUAGAUUCAGAUAGUAAUUUUGGUUGUUUGAUCUUUCUCACCAAAUGGUAUGGUGAAAUUAAUCUUUGUCAAUUGUUUCGUUAAUUUACUUUUUUAUGUUUUUUUUUUUUACUUUCUUCUGUUUCAAAUAAAUCAAAUUAAAAAUAUUCAGGUACUAUACCUUUUUAUGGAAUGGUUUUGUGCUUUGACCAACAAAAUUACAACCUUGUUUGGUAGAUAAGUUUUUUGUCAAGUUUAUCUGCUAUAAGUUUUUUAAAAACUUUAACUACGGUAAUCUCAAAAAACUUAUCAAAAUUUUUAAAAUAUACACUUCAAAAUAUUCAGAAAAAACACACUUCAAAAAUUUUUUAAAAAACUUCUGCAAUAAGUUACAGUAAAAUUUUAGACAGACACAAAAAAAACUCACUUGCCAAAUAGGACCUACAAGAAACCUUGUACGAUAGCAUGGUUCAAACUUGUGUUUGUGAACACAUACACACCUUUAAUUAUUAUUGCAUGAACUACUUUAAUCUUUAUCUACGAUUAUAGGAAUUAAUUGUCUGUAUAUUGUAAGUGUAUAUGUUAUCACUAUUAUAUAUGUUCAUAAGCAUACGUGUGUAUAUCUUAAAAUUUAAAUUUUAUGUAUUUAUCAAGCAUCUAAUUACGAUAAUAUAUUCACUCAAAGUGUAUAUAAAAUUAAAUGAAACAUUCACUCUUCCAAAAAAGUUGCCCAUUUUAAUUAAUAAGAAUUUAUUGUUUAAUAUACUGUCAGUAUAUAUAAAAAUUUACUUAUAAGAAUAUAAUUGAUCUUUUUAUGAACCAACAGUAUAUAAAUUAUCAAGCUUGAAAAAAUGCAUCAUUUUUCACGUUGGGGCUUGCAAAAUUGCUAUUAUACGCUUUAAACUUUCACGUUCAAAUCGGAUCACUCGUCACCUCAACCAUAGCAUGAGAUGGUAACAUGUUUGAGUAGGGUGAGGAAAAGUGUACGACAAUUAAAUCAACUUUUAGUCAAGCAGUACAAAGGAAACAGGAAGUACUUUUUGCAACUUGGCAUUUUGCUUAAGAGUGUGAUAAUAAAUUGGGUGUCAAGAUUUAGUGGUCGUGUUUAAGGUUGUUGUUUAUUAAUUGGCUAUCAAGAUUUAGUGGUUGUGUCGAAUCGCUUUAGAGGUAUUUCUUUUGACUUUAAGUUUUAAGGAUAAUGCAAUUCAUUUUUUUAACUUCGUGAAUAAAAAUUUGAAUUAAUUUUUUAUGCAUUAACAAUCUACAAAUUAUUAUUGCUGGAUACAUGAUAAUUAAUUUAAAUUAAAAUUUAAAUGUUUUUUGGUGCUUUAGAUGGCCACGGCCUGUUACCUAGAAACCCCAUGAUAUCAGCUGCUAAAAUUGGUCUAAAGCUCUGUACUGGACCUUCAAUCCAAGUGACUCCAGCUCGUCUUCGGGCUUUCCUUUGCGAGGAAGUCUGUGCACAUAUUUCCUUCCCGCCAAGAUUUCCCUUUGUUAUUUCAACUGCAACACGUUAACGUCUUUGCCUUUUAAUUCAAUGUAAAUCUAUUGUCGAUUGUGAAUAGUUUGCCACAUUGUUAUUGUUGUUGUAAAUAGUUUCUCGCCCCUCUUUAUAUCAUUCUCAUCUCCAACUAUAUGACACAUGAUUCGAACCUUAAAUCUAAGAACAAAAGAGAGUCUAAGGGUGUGUUUGAUGAAAUUGAAAUUUAAAAUAUGAAUUUAUUAAGUUAUUAAAUUAUUAAGUACUAAAUAUGAUACAUUUUUACUGUCAUUUGAGAUAUCUUUUCUUUUUUUUUUUUUUUUUUGUCGGAGACGAUAAACCUAAUUUAUCCUACACUAAGGGGAAGGGGGCGAGCCUAAGGAGGUUCAGGAAUAAGUCGGAGGGGACUGAACCACCAUCGGACUAGAUGGGUGCACAGCACACCCGUCUGAAUUUUUUGAAGACAAGCCAUAGAAAUGUGACAUUUUUUAUAGGAGGCAAGGUUUCGAACUUUGUCUCCCAUCCCACCAAGUAGGAGGUGCCCAUUGAGCCAAAGACGGGUGCAAAGCACACCCGCCUUGAGAUAUCUUCUCAAUGUCUACGAAUUUGUAUAGUUUGUCACAACUAACAUUGAGUUGAGAUCCUCUUUAGUUUUUUUUUUGGUAUUAUUUCUUUCAUAAAGAAGAGUCAAGGGAGUGACAUUACUUUAAGUUAGUUUAGCUCUAAGAACAAAUCGAGGGACUAAUUUAGUUAAAUUAAUUCGCAAAAAGGUUAUGCAAUUGACUGCAUUUGAAUCAAUUUUAAAACUAAUGAGGGGGAUUGAUGUUGUAGCUUUUGUAACAAUAGGGGUGCAAAGUGGGAUAGGGAGAUAGUUGAUGGGGGUUUACAAUAUUUUACCUUAAAAAAGGCAGUGAAAUUGCCAUUAUAAAUUUUGGAGCUAAAUUGGCAAAGGGCAAAAAUAAAAAAUAAAAAGCCGUGAAAAAGAGAGUUGCAGAAGAUGCGAGCAGCAGAAGAGGGAACUCCCCCAAACAGGGAGAGUUAACAGAGUAGUGACGGAAAAGUAAACGACCAAACCAAAUCCCAGAACCCCCGCCUAAAUCCCUAACCUUCGAAGAAGAAAGAAGAAGUAGAAACCCCAAAACACUGAACAAAGGAACAAUGGUAUACUUUUCUGGUUUCACCAUUCGUUUUCUUCAGUUUUUUUCUCCCGACAAUGGAAAUUCUGCGUUUCUAGUUUCUCAAGAUUUUUUUUUUGAAUUUUUGGAAUUUCAGUUUUCAAUUGCAGCAAUUAACGAUACAGACUCGAAAAAGCAGUGGGAACCUCUUGCUCCCACUAAAGAAGCCCAGGUAAGAUUUUACUUCCUACUAUGUCCUUCCAUUCAGCUAUUGUUGUCAUCUUAAAAUUUACUUUAUGGGGUUCAGUGUUGUUGUUGUUGUUUUUUUUGGUUCUUUACAGUUUGAAAUAUUGCAGAUUCUUAGUCAGUCUUGGUGGUAUGGCUACGAUAUGCAAUAUGUUUACUGUUUAGGUAGUUUUUUGUGGGCAUAGUGGGAGCUAAACGUAAUCAAUCAAGAACAAAGAAAAAAGUGCAACUGAAACCCUUUCCGCAUUCUAUUAACAAGAACUGAAGUGGGAUCUCGAUGUUCAAAAAGCUUGUAAUCCCUCGUUCUCUAUUUCAGUCGGUUUUGGCCAGUUCACCUGUUUGGUUUCUGUUUAUGAUAGAAAGAAGUCGCAAUACGCGUGCAUACACGCAAAAGCUGUUGUUCACUCUUUGGGAGCUGGUUUUGAGUUGCGAGGACAAAUGAUGAGAUUCAACUGUCUUAUGGUGGUUUAUGGGCGUUUUGGUGGUUGAGGGUGGAGGAAAUGAUAGUGCAUUGGUGUGCCAGUGGUAGAGUUUUGAUUUGGUUCAGGAAACCUGUUUUGCCAUGGAUAGGGCUGACUUGUAUUUGAUUGUAAACAACUAUCUAGCUUGACCUUGAUAUUGAGAAUUUUGGAUUUGAUUGGGCUGUUAUUAGGCAUCUUUUUGGUCCAUUUUAUGCUCAACUGGGUUUUAGGUGGCUCAUUGAGUGGGUUAACAUUUGGAAUUUGGAGGUGAUUUGGCAUAGGAAGUGGUAUAGUUGCCAAAUCACAGAUUACUAACAUAGAAGAGGGCUUGGGAAGAGGUAUUUGAAUAGUCGAGGUGGGAAGAGUAGAUACAGAUUUUGAAAUGUAAAGUCCUAGGAAAUUAGGAAGGUCUUGGAAAAAAACUUUAUGCUGUUUCAUCCUUGGUGUGCUAGAGGCAGUUUUUGGGUGUCAUUAAACGUAAGGAAAUCAGAUAGCUCGGAUGAGAAUCAAGGAAAAAUAUUGCAUCUGAAUUCUUUGCAUGUUAAGGAGGCUGGAAUUCUAUUCUAACUGCGUAGUUGAGGCAGCCUUUUAUGAGCAAAUCUCUUGUUGGCUGUGAUUGUGUUCGUAAUUCAUGUGCUUUGAUUGCUUGUUCUAGCAUUGUCAUGGUUAACAGGUGCCUCUUUACUUCAAAACAAGAUAAUGAAGAUUAAUUGUGGUCAGUUUAUGCUUACCACCUUACUAGCAACACUUUUUCCAUCUCAAGUUUAUCCUAUGGCUAGUCUGCGAAUAGCAGUUUCUUCAAUCCGUGAAUAUUUAAGUUUCUACUGAGAAGUCGUCUAUAAAAGUUUUACUUUGCACCACUUUUGGUCCUAAUCGUUUUGCCCUUAAUUCUUUUGCCCCAGUAAGCUAAAUCAGAAUUCUUAAAUAUGCAGUACACGAAAAAUUUCAAGCACUGACCCACCUACUAUCUGCAUGCUUGGAGAUACUAAUAUUUACAACAAGACAACUGAUGAUAUCUAAAGAAGGACAGAAAUUUGAAUUCCAGGAGAUAAUACCAUAGCAGAAACCAAGAGCAUAGUUUAACAGUCCGAUAGCAAUUUGAUAGAGCACUGAGUAGAAAGAGUGACAUACUAAUUGUUUGUUAAAUAAACAAGUAGGAUGAUGAUAAAUAAGACAACAUGAAAUGACCUGGGCUAGUACAUGCUUAAGUGUGGUUGCAUCGAGAACGCACACUAAUAUAAAGUUGAACAGGAAAAAUGACUAUUAUAGCUUCUAUAGCAAGCACAGUAGCAAUGAGUUGUUUAUGGAGUAGAAUUCAAAAUUAAUCUCAUUUUCUUGAUAUUUUAUGAACAACAUUUUCCAAAUGGGAAGAUAUCCAAAUUUUUAUGAUGCUUCACCUACCAUCUGUUUAAAUGUUUAUGUGCAUAGCUAUUUUUGGAUAAAUUGACUUGUAUGAUUUCAGGAAUUUCAUCUAUCACAAAUUUAUCAUGAAGGGCUUGCAAAAUUGCAAGCUAAAGACUACAAAAAGGCUCGUGAACUUUUGGAGUCUGUUCUAAAAGAUCCUAUGGUAUCAAGUGCUCAGGUAGUUUAUGUUCUUUGUUAACUUCUUGGUGUUUCAAAAUUUUAUUGCUUCAUCUAUUUGAUCCUUGCUCACUCCAUUUCUUAUCUUGUAGGUGGACAAUAAUGUUAGUGAUGGUCAUCUUUUACAGCUCAGGUUUGGGUUGAAGCAAAAUUCUUAGAAACAGAUGUUUUACUUAUUGUCUUUUUAAUUUUUGACUUAUGCACUCACAGUUCAUGAAGUUGCUUUCUUAAUAAUGUCCAUGGCAUGCUAUGGGUGAAUGUUAGUGAUAUGAUUUAUAUUACCAUGUCGACUUCAGAUCAACAAUGCCUUUUCCUGUGAAAAAAUGAACACUUAGGCUCAUCUGCAAUAAAAGUCAUUUCCAAAAUGUUAGCAUCUUUUUUUUCUGGAUGUGUGUCAACAGUGAAAGAGUCGAAAGAACAAUAACUAAAUGGUGGCUUUAUUAACCGGCUUUUUUGAACCACCCUUUGGUUUUCUUUGAAGCUUGUCCAUUGAUGUUGAUGUGAAAAUUGUUUACCUUGUGAAAUUAGUCAAUGACUUUAUGCUUCCUGGCGUACAGUCUGUUGGAAAUGUGCAAUUUGACAAAUAGGGUGGUUUUUAGAAAAUUUAAGACAUUGAAAACUGAAUGGUGCUUCCAGUUCCCCCAGAUUGUAUAAAAUAUUUGAGAUCAUAAGGUUAUUGAAGUAUUUGAAUGUUAAUCUGAUUCAAAUCUUGCUUGACAUAUUUGCGGUGCAUACGCAGCUUAAGGUCAGAUAGCUGUAUGAUCAUGCGGAUGAUUUUUUGUGUGUCUGACAUGAACGAAAUAGUAUAACGAGCCUGUUUAUUUUCUGUUAACCAUCCUUCUUCUAUAUAAUUCCACCCACAUGGUUAUUAUAUUUUGCCAUGAUCAUGAUUCAUUAUGAUUUUGUUCCAUACUUUGAAGUAUAAGUAAAUACUUGUAUGGUUCACAUUCCAAAUUAUUUUGGAUUUCGUACUCAACAAAUUAAGUUUUCAGAUAAGUUGAAAUCAUAAUGGUUAAUAGAAAUCAUUUUCAACCUUUUCCUUUUCUGAAAUAGUUUACAAUUGAAAUGCCACCAUAAGGGAGUCUUACAAAAUGCUUAUAGUGUUUCUAUGUGGUAUUUUUUCACAUGGACAGUUCUUCACUUUCUUCUCCUUGGUGGCAUCUUAAGUGAUCCCGUCAUUGUAGGAUGAUCUUAAAACUAGAGAAGGGUUAGUCACAUGCUAUUCUACUUUUGCGCAUCAUGCAAAGGAUUAGGAGUAUUAUUUUCUUGGAUGGAGAGCUUUUUUUAUUGACUGGAUAAGUUCACUCCCUAUUUUGUGCAAACAACAACGGUAUCCGCUUCUUUAAAUGAAAAUUUCCCCCUCUCUGUUAUUGCCAUGAAAUAAUGUUUCAGAAAUGGAGGCACUUGGACCAAACUUUACAAUUUAUUUGAACAUCCGGGAAUUGAUGCACAUGGAAAAGAUACAACCAUCUUUUUCCAGCUAGGGAAAAGUUAAAAAGCAUUUAAAUGUGCAUAUUUUUUGGUGUUACCAAAUUGUUGUACCUGAAAUUUAAGGAGUUCUAGCCUUCAUUAACUAUUUUCCUUUAUGUACUGUGUACUGGUUUUCAUAAGAGUUCAUCCUUACAAAACAAAGUAACUAUAUAUAAGAGGCAUUAGUCGACAAUGGAACUUAAUAUGCUGUUUCUUUUCUUAUAGGUUUGUGGAACUUGUCGCCAUUGUUGUGAGGUUUGAGAUGGACAAAUUUUUGGUGUCCGUUGACCAUACAUAACUCUAAUAUUAUCUUUUCUGGAGGAGAAAAAAUCAGCACAGUAGUAAAGAUUAACAUUGAUUCUUCUUAAACAAGGGAGUAGAAUGUUUAAUUUUUUCUUUUGCAGAUUUUUGGUGCUGAAGAACCUUGCUACCGUUUUUCUUCAACAAGGUCCUACUUUUUAUGAGAAUGCUCUACAGUGCUAUCUUCAAGCUGUGGAGAUUGAUAACAAAGAUUCAGUUGUCUGGAACCAGCUAGGAACACUAUCCUGCUCAAUGGGACUUCUAAGUAUUUCGCGUUGGGCAUUUGAACAAGGACUAUUUUGCAGUCCCAACAAUUGUAAGCAUUUUGUGAGUUUUCUUGGGUAACUUCUGGGAAAUUCUGUAGUUCUCAGUAUCAUUUGCAUUCCAUGACUUAAGCAAUUUAAUAGCCAUGUAAUCAAUCCCUCAACUGUUGCUAUAAAUCAAUUCAUUUGCUUUUCUUUGACAACAUAAAUGCAGGGAAUUGCAUGGAAAAACUUUUAGAAGUUCUCAUUGCUAUUGGGGAUGAGGUUGCCUGUCUUUCUGUGGCUGAAUUAAUACUGAGGCAUUGGCCAUCUCAUUCACGUGCUUUGCAUGUCAAAACUACAAUUGAAGGGUCUGAACCCAUUCCAUUUGCUCCAAGAGGGAUAGACAGACUGGAACCAAAACAUAUCCGGUUGAAAUUUCCUGAAAAGAGAAAGGCAGAAAAUGAUGACCUGAUAGAUGGUGCCCCAUCAAAAAAGCUAAAGCAGACUAUAGAAGUUCAGCUUUCAGAACCUUCAUGGACUGCUCUUGCUGGUGAGCUUCUGCAGCUGUUAAAUUCGUUUGUUUCAGCUAGUCCUGAUCAGGAAAGAGGGCAAUAUAAAUCUGGGGAUGUUAGCUUAAGCAUACGGUUGCCUCACACUUCUGGAAGUGGCAUGGAGACCCUGGAAAGCAAAGGAUCUAUGUUGACCACAUCCAGUGAAGAUAUGCCGUUUGCUAAUUGCAAUUUUGAGAAAAAUUCUCACACUAAGGAAAAGGAAGCAAAUGUGUCUGAGGAACAACCUCAAGAAAGGCGAAGUAGUCGCAUUGAGAGGCUUAGGAGUCGUAAACCAGGGAAAGAGGAUUCAGAUUUUGGCACCACAAGGGAUCUAGCUAAAGUCAUAGUGCAAUUUCUAAGACCUUUUAUUGCAGGUGGAGGAGGUAGCGAUGACUAUACGACUGAUGCUAGUACAUCAUCUGAUUGUGCUGAAAUUGUGACCCGUUCACAGGAUUCAGAGAGUACAGAUGUGAUCAGAUUUGUGGAGAAAACUUCAGAAAAUUAUGGUGCUUACCACGUGAGUCACUUAAUUUUAGAAGAGAUUGCUAGUAGAUGCAUUUUUUUUCAGGAUUCUAAUGCUAAAUUUUUGGACUUGGAGAAGUUGACUAGGCAAUGGGGGAAGGAAAGAACUCCAGAAUGCAGUCUUUUUCUCGCAGAGCUAUAUUAUGACUUUGGGCUACGGUCUCCAGACUCAUCAACAUCUGAAUACAUGUCAGAGGCAUCAUAUCAUAUUUGUAAAGUUAUUGAAUGUGUAGCACUGGAGUGUCCCCUUCAAAGUCUUGCUGUGGCUUCACAUGAUAAUCUCUCUUCAAGGAAGAGCUUGUCGGACCCUUGUAAAAUUGCAGUUGACAACAGUCAUCCGUUGAGCAAUGACUUUCCUUUCUGGGUACGUUUUUUCUGGUUAAGUGGACGCCUUUCGAUGGUGGAUGGCAACAAAGCAAAAGCUCAAGCAGAGUUUUCUACUUCUCUGUCGCUGUUGGUCAAUAAGGAGAACAAGAAUGAGUCUACUAGUUCUAUUUGCUUGCCCCACUGCAAGGUCAUUCACAAGCUUACUGUUGAUAGGAUUCUCAGUGAAAUUAAUCUAUUAGAGGUUGACUUCUUGAUGAAGAAGACUGUACACGAAAUGAUUGGGAAAAAUAUGUAUUCAGAGUGUGUAGAUAUGCUUGUUCCCCUUUUAUUCUCUGCUAAAGAUGUCCAUCUUGAUGUGGGGAAUGUUUCCGGGCUAGAUGAAGGAUUUACCAAUGUUGAGCUAUCUGCAAUAGAUGCUUUGAUCAAGGCAUGUGAACAAGCUAUGUCAAUGGAUAUUGAGGUUUAUUUGAAGUGUCACAGAAGGAAACUACAAAUACUGAUAUCUGCCGCUGGUCUAGGAGACUAUCCUCCUUCAAUUAAAAGUCAUGGCUUGAAUGUCUUCUCUUCCUCUGAAACAGAAGCAAAGGACAGCGCAUGCAUCUACUGGAACCACGUUGUUGCUGAAGAAGUCAAGGCAAUUUCUGGAUGUACCUCACGGAUAAAGAGCAUGAUUCCAUGCGAUCAUUUGGUAGGUCAAUUCAAAAUUUCAAAGUUAAUGUUUCUAAGGCCACUGUUCAACUUUCAGAAGAUCUUAAAUUUGCUAGUUAUUCAGAUAUGGGUAAUUGUUAUAUAUGUUGUUUGUUCAUUGACGUAUCUGCUCAUGUCUAUUGAUGCACCUUUUCUGGGCAAGCUAAUAGAGGAAUUUGUCAAUAUCCCCCUGUGGUUUUAUAUUCUGUUGGUGGUACAUAUGGCUAGUAAAGCUCAUGGAACUUAUCCUACGCUCUUCUAUGCUUUGCAUAAAUCACUUUCUUGUUGAUGAGGUCAAUCUUAUGUACUAAGAGAUUAGAAAUCACUUUUAUGUGUCAUGAACUCAUGAGGUUGGCGGUCCAGUACUUCUGUGUAUCUACUGGUUUUCAAUGAAGCAUCAGGGUUCAGUUACUUUUUUCUAGAUAUGUAAUUGGAUGAACAUUUACGAAAACCUGCUACGUUAAGCAUCAGGGUUCAGUUACUUUUUCUAGAUAUGUAAUUGUGUGAACAUUUAUGAAAAUCUGCAACCUUGCAAGUUCUAAGUUAGACCAAACGCUGCUGUGCUAGGUUUGAUAAAGCCUCUGACAUUGUGUUUGAUGUUUGUUCGUUCUAAAUGAUAAAUCUAUUUGCCUCGUCACAAGCUUGGCAAUGCAAAGAAAAGUAGACUUGUUUUCUUUAUUAGUGCUUUGACCUCCAAGAAUGCCAUAAUGCUAGGCUGUCAGUAGCUUUGUUACAGCAUUUACACUUUUCUGUAAUGGCAAAUUAUUUUGCUCUGAACCAUGCUUUGGUCCAAUUAUGAUGCUUAAUAUAUCUUGUCAGACUUUUCUUCUCGCAUAAUGUAGUUUUGAGUCUUUUACUUGUUGGAGAAAAUAGAAGGUUUGUGCAGUUUUUAUUUAUUUUUGGACAAGUUGGAUAUAAUCGAUGCCAUUACAUCGCUAUAUUCAUUUACAGUGAGUGAUAAUUUGGGUUUCUUGCAGAAUGGUGUUAUAGGUCCAAUGAAAGUUAUCAAGGAUAUCCAGUCUAUCUUGCUAGUACUUAUGUGCAAUGUUGCAAAUAAGUACCUUUGUAAGAAAUCAUCUGGACUUGGGAUUUCAGACGAAAAUUUGCAGGGACAGAUAUGCUACUUUGUAGAUGCAGCUAUUGCAUUCUGUAAACUCCAGCACCUUAGCCCUACUGUUCCUAUCAAAACUCAGGUGUGGCAUAAAUCCUGUUUUUUGAAAAUGUUAACUCUUACUUCUCAUGGCCCCAUAUAUUGCUUUAAGUUUUUUGAUGUCAUAUUAUGAAUUUAUUUCAUGUUAAUAUAGAGAAUUGGCAUAUAUUUUGUUAUCAGACAGAGUUGAUUGUUGCUGUGCAUGACAUGCUUGCUGAGUUUGAACUCUGCUGUGCCCAUGGAAAUGAUGACGAGGAGGGGGGGACAUUUUUGAAGUUUGCCAUAAAGCACCUGUUAGCCUUGGAUAUGAAGCUUAAAUCUAAUUGUCAAAACCAAAGCAAGGCUGAGAAUCAAGUCCAAAGUUCUGGUCAGAUAUCCCCUGUUUUUCAGAUUGAUGGUUCUGUUAAUGAAGCAAAGAUUAUUGAACAGGCUACAGAUGUGGAUCAUACAGAUGAAAUCAGUACACCAGAGAAGGAUGCUACUGAAGGGAACUAUUCAGAAAGCUUUUGCACUCAGGAACGUCUAAAGAAAGAGGAGACAGGAGUAGAAUGUGAUAGAAACGUGGGUGCUAGGCCAAAUAGCGUGUUCCUUGAGAGACAAAAAGAAAAAGAAGACACUCAAUCUAUAGAAAGUGGAAAAGAAAUGACAGAGGAUGAAAGAGAAGAAUUAGAACUGGGAAUUGAUAAUGCUUUGGAUCAGUGCUUUUACUGUUUGUAUGGUUUGAAUCUUAGAUCUGACUCAUCUUAUGAAGAUGAUUUAGCCAUACACAAAAACACUAGCCGGGGAGACUAUCAGACAAAGGAACAGUGUGCUGAUGUUUUCCAAUACAUACUGCCUUAUGCCAAAGCUUCAUCAGUAAGUAAAUAAUGACCAGUCUUUUUCCUCCCUUGCAUUUCUUUUGAACUUGUGAUCAUUGUGUUAUUCAUUCAAAACUAUGUUGCUAAUUAGUUUUCUGUGUCUGUUAGCGAACCGGUCUUAUUAAAAUUCGGAGAGUACUAAGAGCUAUACGGAAGCACUUUCCGCAGCCUCCUGAUCAUGUUUUGGUGGGAAAUGCAAUAGAUAAAAUCUUAGAUGAUCCUGACUUAUGUGAAGAUAAACUGUCAGAAGAAGCUGGAUGUGAUGGCUUUCUGGAUUCAGUUAUCAAGACAGUAUUUUCUGAUCCUGGAAGCCUCAAACAACAGCAAGCAUCGUUGGUUGUUAGGUAUUGUCUCUUUACCAAUAUUUUUUAUUAUUUUAGUUUAUGGACUUGAGGAUCUUCUAUAUAACCAGUUCCAACUUGUUUGGUAUGGGCUUGUCAUUGAUUGGCAAGAAGGGACCUGGUACUUAUGAUUACUUCAGAUUUUUGGUAUAGACUGAAUAAUAUGUUCAUUAAAUGCAGCUCUGGACCUUACCAUGAUGUGUACAGCAACUUGUAUUACUUUCUAGCUUUGUCUGAAGAAAUGAGUGCAACAGAUAAAUGGGCAGGUUUUGUAUUAACCAAGGAAGGGGAAGAGUUUGUUGAGCAAAAUGCAAAACUCUUUAAGUAUGAUUUACUGUACAAUCCCCUACGCUUUGAGAGUUGGCAGCGGCUAGCAAAUAUAUAUGAUGAGGUGACUUUCCUUUGUUGUGUAAUCUUUUGGGUUGGCUUAUGCAUUGAGAAAAUAAAAAAGAACAUUAGUUCCACAUUAAACAUUCAUUUAUUGCUUUCAAAAUACUACUUGUGUGUGCAGGAGGUGGACUUACUAUUAAAUGAUGGAAGUAAGCAAAUAAAUGUUUUAGGAUGGAGGAAGAAUCCUACUUUACCUCAGAGGGUUGAAAAAAGUAGGAGGAGGAGCAGGCGAUGCUUAUUGAUGACUUUGGCUCUUGCAAAAACAGCAAUUCAACAGGUUAUGCUCCAGUUUGAUGAUGCUUGUUCAAUUUGGUGCCUUUUUUCUUGCUGCGUAUACUAGUAUAGGGAACUAGAGUGUUGAUGGCAAACAACUAUUUUCUGUUGGAGAUGUCUUCAUGAUAUGGUUUAAAGGUUUGACCUCUUUUUAUUUAUUUAUUUAUUUACGCAAGUUAUGAUCCAAAAUCAAUGAUCUCAUGGAGCUGACUAGGAAAGAUGAGAAUAUAGGUUGCAUCUUCACAGGCUUUGAACUGCUUGAUCUCCUGUGGUUGUUGAAUCUUGCUUGUGAAAUUUGUUACUAUUACAAAUCAGAAAUAGUGAAUGAGUUGGUAUUACACAUAUGUGCCUCUGCUGCUUGAUUGAAUCUUUUAGUUGUCAACUAUAUUACAUGGCUGAAGCCACUUUUAUUGCUUAUGUUGGGUUCCAGGGUGAGAUACAUGAAUUGUUAGCACUAGUGUACUACGAUGGUGUUCAGAAUGUUGUACCAUUUUAUGACCAGAGAUCUAUGAUACCCUCGAAGGAUGCAGUUUGGAUGAUGUUCUGUCAGAACUCAAUGAGACAUUUCAAGAAGGCCUUUGAGCAUAAGUAAAUAUUUUUCACUCAGGUUUUUACAGUGCUUCUGGACUUACAGCAUUAUCUGGUCUUACAUAUUAAAAUCUAUUUCUACAGGGAAGAUUGGUCUCAUGCAUUUUAUCUGGGAAAAAUAUGUGAGAAGCUUGGCUGUUCACACGACACGUCUUUGUCAUAUUAUGCUAAGGCUAUUGCCUUGAAUCCAUCAGCUGUGGAUCCAUUCUACAGGAUGCAUGCUUCACGCCUGAAGCUACUCUGCACAUGUGGGAAACAAGAUCAAGAAGCUAUGAAGGUUUUUCCUAGCUGGUUUUUCCUAGCUGUUAUCUUUGAAUUUUCUCCAAUUCUUUUCUCCACACCACAAAAAACCAUAUUCUACUCGACGGAAAGGACAAAAAUGUGCAAUAUAGAAGGAGCUGAGUACAAACUAAGCCUAGUGCAUUAAAGCCCCACGCGUCGACAUAAGCUAAUAGGAAGACUGGCAGAUAAAAUUCAUACAUACAGGCCUUUUAAAAUCGGCUUCUUCCUUACUUAUCAUGUUAUUUGAUUGAUCAACUAUUUUAUUUGUUUCUUAGUAUCAUCCCUGUGGAGUGAUACACACAAACACAUGUAUAUUUGUAUGUAUGAUGCUGAAUAGCUCUGCGUUUUCUUUAGGUUGUUGCAGCAUAUUCUUUUAUGGAGUCAACAAAGCAAACCAUAAUGAGUACUCUUGACAUAGUUGGUGGUGAAAUUUUGGAACCAUCAAUGCAUAGCGAGAAAAGAAACUUAGAUGACAACUGUGCCGGUAAUAUGGUGGAAGUUGCCAAGUUGGAAGAGGUGUGGCAUAUGCUUUACAAUGAUUGCCUUUCUGCACUUGAAAUCUGUGUUGAAGGAGAACUCAAGCAUUUUCACAAGGCCAGAUAUAUGCUCGCUCAAGGGCUGUAUAGAAGGGGGGGCAGUGGGGAUCUGGAUAAGGCAAGGGAGGAGAUUUCCUUCUGCUUUAAGUCAUCUCGUUCUUCAUUUACGAUAAACAUGUGGGAGAUUGACAGUAUGGUAAAGAAAGGAAGGUACAGCUUUCGUCUUUUUCUCAUUUCUCAAACUACUUCUCAAGGAUAUUUGAAAACAAUGUAAUUUACUUCUUUCUUUUCCUUAAUUUGGCAAGUCAAGAGAAUUUUGUUGUCACAUAAUUUUAAGCUAAUUGAAUUUUUAUAUACGCAAGAAAUUUUUACCAACAUAUAUAGGCCUAUUAGAAUAAGAAAGCAGGGACAUGUUUUUAGAUUUCUUCACUAAAUAUGACUAGCAUAAAAUUCUCUGAAAACUGAUUGGAUAUUAGCAUAAUGGAAUAGCUCAUUUUCCCUUGAAAUUUGAAGCCUUGUAUAUGAUUUUACAUACAAGUAUCUCAAUCUUGGCCAUGUGCUUCUUUGAUUUACAGGCGCAAAACACCAAGUGUUUCUGUAAAUAGGAAACCUCUGGAAGUUAACCUAGCAGAAAGUUCUAGAAAGUUUAUCACUUGCAUCAGGAAGUACAUAUUGUUCUAUCUGAAAUUAUUGGAGGAGACGGGAGAUGUCUCUACGUUGGAUCGGGCUCAUGUUUCUCUUCGCUCAGAUAAGAGGGUAUCACCAUUUGAAUGAGUUUGGAUUUUUGCCUAUUUUUUGUCAAUUUUUGAUGUGGUUAAGUGGUUUAUACAAGGUGUUCUUUUUGAGCUACAUCCUUGAUACUUCUUUUAGAUUUGAAGCAAAAUUUUUGUGUCAGAAACUCUGUGAAAUAGUAAAAUCUGUGCUAUGUGAAUAUUGGCAUAUUGUUUCAUUAUUCUUGUUUUAGUAAGUAAAUGAAAUUAGUAGUGGCUUUUGUUGUUCAUUUGAUGUCAGAUGCAUGAUCUGUCACACUACUGUUUAAAGCUGCCUAGAUGGCUUUGAAUUUUUUUUUUUAAAUUAUUUUUUUAUAGUAUAAGUGGGAGGUCUCAAAACCCAGGACCUCUCACUUACAUUCCCUCCCCCGUACCACCCAACCCAUCCCUCUCCGUUGGCUUUGAAAGUUGUUUACUCUGGGAAGAAAUUGUCAUGUCAAAGCAUUGAAAAGAAAAAUUUGUCUUGAAAAAGUUAUUCCCGAGUAUUUAGGAGGAAACCAUAAGGUCUAAGCAAAUAAGAAAGCUUCAAAACUGUUUUUAGGCAAAAUCAACAACAGAGAACAGGUCCAUACGCAUGGGACAAUCAAACAAAUAAGCACGAAUGAGAUGCGGCCACAUAUUCAUCAUGCUUGAGCAAUGUGAGGAGAAAAGGACAGUUAUGAAAUUAUGUUCUACCUUGCAAAGUAUGUUUGUUAGUUACACAAUCUAAACUUAAUAAGCCUUUUUACUUGUCUUUUUCUCUUAAUUUGAAAGAUUAAAAGGUCAAAGAAAGAUUGAGAAACAAUCUUCUUAGACAUGGAACUAGUGUUUAUAAUUUUGCAUGAUCUGGGUGAUAUUUGUUGUUACUAGUUUCAGAUCAGAUUUCUUUACAAUAAAUGAUAAUCUAAACUUAAUAAGCCUUUUUACUUGUCUUUUUCUCUUGAUUUGAAAGAUUAAAAGGUCAAAGAAAGAUUGAGAAACAAUCUUCUUAGACAUGGAACUAGUGUUUAUAAUUUUGCAUGAUCUGGGUGAUAUUUGUUGUUACUAGUUUCAGAUCAGAUUUCUUUACAAUAAAUGAUGAUCGUCAUUUGUCAUAGAAACACUUUGUGUUGGUGGGAUCAUAUUUAUCUUAUUUGAUUUUCAAUUCAGUUCUCUCCAUGCCUUGAGGAUAUUGUUCCGGUUGCCAUCGGGAGGUACAUCAAGACCUUAAUUUUGUCCAUCCAGCAAUCUCUCUCGUGCUCUGAUCCUACUCGUGGUGCUAUUGAACAUCUUCUGGAGAAAUUAUUUUCUCUGUUUUUAGACCAGGUCAACUUAUGGUCAGACAUAUGCAACUUGCCUGAGAUUAAGACCCCAGAAUUGACGGAGAGCUAUUUAUAUGGGUAACUUCUGUAUGAACUUUACUUUGUGUUGUGACUUUAAUAUAAUACUUUGCUUUAACAGUCUAGAUGCCUUGUUGAUUUCUGCUGGUUACUUUCAUAAAUCUAACUCAACUUCAUCCUUGUGACACCUAUCUUGACUGGUGAAAUCAAUGUACUUACACAGAUUUUGUGUUUGGCCUUUGGUGCAGAUAUCUGUAUCAAUACAUCCAAUGCUUAGAGAGAAGUGUCAAGGUAGAAGCACUUGAAGGAAUAAAUGAGAAAAUUAGGAAGCGUUUGAAGAACCCAAAGUUGUCUAAUAGCAACUGUGCUAAAGUUUAUAAGAUCGUUUCUGUUGCUUGGUGUCGGUCUCUUGUUAUUAGCAUGGCUUUAAUAACACCAUUGCACUCAAGAAUUCCAAGCGAGAUCCAUGUUCCAGGUUCAUUAGGUAGUGGACUAGAAAAUAUACAGUUGCUCUGUGUAGAUUUGCAAUCAGAUGAAUUGUGGAGUUCAUCGUCUGAUGACCUAGAGCAUCUGAAGUGUCUUGAAACCAAAUGGAAUCCUUCGUUGUCUAAGAUCAAGAAUGUGAUAGUUAAGAGGGUAUCAGAUGAAGACUUGGAGACUGCUGCUAUUUUGCUCAGAUCUUCCUAUAACUUUUACAAGGAUACCUCUUGUGCAUUGCUCCCAUCUGGCAUAAAUCUUUAUACGGUGCCAUCUCAGUUAGCAACGGAGACAUAUGUCCAGCCAGGUAUAGAUGGCGUGGACAUACUUGACAUGAACACUUCAAGGAAGCUUCUUUUGUGGGCCUACACACUUUUGCAUGGAUAUUGUCCAAACCUUUCAGUCGUCAUUAAGUACUGUGAAGAAAAUGUUAAGGUAUGCAAGUAGAUUAUAGUUUUUAUGUCAGCAUCAUAGAUUUGCCAGUCAAAUGGUGAUUAUCUCAGUGAAAAGAGUAUGCAGAAAAAGCUUGUUGGAUGUGGAUAGAAUGCAGGAGGGAAAAGGAGGAACUUUCAUGAGUCUCAUUCUUUCUAAAAUAGCAGAGAAGAUCUCUGGGCUAGCUGGUUUGUAAAAUGUGUUUGGUUGACUAGAAAGGUUCUUCUCUUUUUUCACUUACCGCAUUACCCAAUUUCCGCAAAUUCCUUCCUCUCCAAGAACCACCACCAACCAAACCCCACCUCUCCCAAAAAAAAAAAAAGAAGCCCUUUUUCAAGGUAAGUUAUCUUACCUUUUAAAAACACAUUGAUUUUUAAACCUCCCCCUUUCCUUCAGAAUGUGGUAGGCGUUGAACUCUGCAAACUGACCCUGCCUCUCCCCCAAAAGAAAAGAAAAAAUGUUUUCAACGUAAGUUAGCUUGCCUUUCAAAAACCCAUUGAUUUUUGAACCUCCCCCUUUCCUUCAGAAUGUUGUAGGCAUUGAAGAAUGUGUGUGGCAAUUUGGAGUUGAGUCCCAUUUUAUCUUUUAUUUUGUCACGCUAACUUUGGGGGUCCUGUAGGAUAUCCUGUCUGAGAAGUAAAACAUAAAAAUAAAACAGAUUUGAGAAGGGUGAAGGUGGGAAAAGGAAAAACAAUUGCUUUGUUGGUGGCACCAGACUGAUCCAGUAUCGAUUUGUAGUGUGAAAAGAAGCAUUUCAGGGUGUUCUUUACCGAAUUUUCAGCAAAAAGUUGGAUAGUAUCAUUACAAGCUUGUGGAGCUUAUAGUUGUUGCAUUCUGGUUGUGAUUGCAGGUGAAGAUGAAAAAGGGGACUGGAACUCCAUUGACGCCUUCAAAUACAAAUGUUCCCUCGGGCUCAGCAUCUAAUACAGGUAUCUAUAAGCUCAUUAAGGGAAACUCUUAUACAUGUGUACUGAAUGAUGCUAAUUGGACUCGUAUACUUACAACUGUCUUGUAGGGGGUGGCAAAGAUGGAACUGGUAAAAGCAAUGAAGUCGAUACUUCCUCUAUCUCUUCUGCUACUGCUGCUUCCUUGCCUGAAAUAGAUACAACAACUAAAAUGGCAUCUUCUCCAUUACCUGAAAAGCUGGAGCCGAGCAAUGUUGCAUCUGCUUCUUUGCAGGGAACGGAGGCAUGUAAUUUGGCAUCCGUAUCUCCGACUGAAACAAAGAUUAUCUGCAGUGUAUCAUCUACAUCUAUGCCUGAUAGUGGGAGCACAAAUUUGCCAAAUGUUGUAUCAUCCAAUGAGAAUCAAGGGUUUCUAUCAGCUACUUCUGAUCUUCUCGAUUGUAACGUUGUUCCCACAGAAAUGAGCCGUGUGGAUAUAGAAGGUGCCUCAGAUCUGACUUCUGAGCAAUGAUUGAUUUCUCACGGGGCGGACAAAUUUUGGCCAAUUUUACGUCUGAUAACAUGAAAAUGAUUCAUUUUGGUGUAUAUAAUUUGUCUGUAGGGAAGAAAUGGGAACUGGUAAAAGGCAACAGCUUGUGAAUAUUGAUAGUAGUGUCUCUAGUGAGUUUCUUAUGUGCCCUUGUACAGCUGCAAUAAAAAGUUUCAUUGGGGUACUUCCCGGUUGAUGGUCGCAUGUUAUACAGACGCUGAUUUAAUUGUGCAUUUUCCUGCUUCUAUCUAGCAGAUGUUUAUAUUGAUAAUAAACAUUUACAUGCCCAUUGCAAACCCGAUUGCUGGAAAUUUGCUAGUAAUUUUGGAUCUGAAGUUUUCCAGGUGAAGGUGCCCACGUACAUUGGAAGGCUAAACUCAUUUGCAUGGUGCUGAUUUGAGCCAAUAAGCGGCUUUGAAGCAACAAGUAAAACACAGAAGUUGGGUAAGACAACUUGUUUUCUUUCAUGGUGAGGUUUCCUUAGGCAAACAACUACCCAACUUUGCCCAAAAGUACCACUAAAGUAGUAAAAUAGAUUGCACAAUUUUUGUAAAAUAUCCUCUGGCAUUAACAUUUCUUUUCACUCUCUGACCAAAAUUUCAUUACGAUGAUACUUUAUUAUGCAAAAUGGUACUAUAAAUCAUUAAAAUUCUAUGUAGAAGAAUUAACCGAUAGCAUGAGUUUGCUUUUCUUAUGUGGGUGUAAAUUAAUCCUUGAAUAUACAGAAAGGAAAUCUCUGUCAUUAAAAUUCUAUGUACAAAAAUUAAUCGAGAGUGCUUCUUACGUGAGUGUAAAUUAAUCCUUGAAUAUAUAGAAAGGAAAUCUAUUACUUAGAAAUGUUGUAAUUUACCGUCACCUUUAUAAGUAGAUUCAUGUAAAAAAUUAUCUAACAAAACUAAAUAUAUAAAGCUACAAAGUUAUCUCAGCUGUGAAACGGGCCAUCGGUAAUUGGACUCCAACCUCCGAAUCAGGCCAACGUCCGCCAAAACAGCCCCGAUAGACGUCUACCUAAAACAGGAACUUGCAGAGUUGAAGCUGUAAUUUUCUCGCUUUUUCAGUAAUCUGCAAAAAAUGGGAAGCAGAGCUUUCAUGGUUUUGCUAAGUCACAGAGGAGCAUACAUUAAUCCUUCUGCUAAUGCUGCCCAACUUUUCUUGACUUUCGGGCAAAGCCCAUUUUCUCCUGUGAAGAAGAAAUGUCUUGUAGAACGCAGGAAUCAUAGGACAAGCCACAACUUCUCCACCGCAGCAAACUCUAGCCUUGAGCCCCCUAAUCUUCCUCGUUUGGCUGAAACUGCUCGAAUUUCCCUCACCCCAGAUGAAGUAUUACUACUAUAUAUUGCCCUUUUCUUCCUUGUCUUCAUAUCCAUGUGUACUCGUAUAAUUGAUGACUUCGAAGUCCGUGUUUUUUCUUUAAGCAGAGUUGCAAAGGUAUAUUUUUGGAUUGUAAUCUUUAUUUUUCCCCUUCCCUUGUUGGGUGUUUACAGGUGGAAGAAUUUGCUCCUAAAAUGAAACAAGUGGUUGAUUGGUAAUGUAUCUUCUUUCUUUCUUUCUUUGGCUGUCUCCCUUUCUUAUAACUAAUAACAUAUGCAUGUAUGAUUGAAAUGUGGGAGUUUGCUGAAGAGCCUUAUAUUUAUCAUUUGUUUGCGGAACUUAAAAAUUGAAGUUUUAUGAAUACUGAUCAUAGUUUUAGGCUUCUACACUUGAAUGUCAGCCUGACUGGUGUAGUUUUGAUUUUCCCUGUGAACUUUUGUGUAUUGGUUUGCUCUAAAAUCUGAUAUGAAAUGACAUAAAAAAAAAUUGAUAUAAGUGUUUGUAAUUUACAAAAUCAGAGAUGUGGGUUUUGUUCCAAAUACAAUGCUCUUUUAUAGUAUGGUCUUGGACUGGAGUAUUUUAUCUAUGCUUCUUCAUCAUAAUUUGAGUGAAUCAAAUUAGUUUACAGACUGAUUUGCUGAAACUCGUGUAGUUCUUAGUAGCAUUCAAAUGCAGUCUAGAAGCAAGUUUUGGAUCCAGAAAGGAUCAUUCGACUGAUCUCCCUGAAUUUUUUUCACCGACAUGAAGUUGUUUUUAUAAAUCUGAUGUCAUAAAAGGGUAGUUUCAGGGUAUGAGCUAUGUUGAUGAUUGUCUCUGUGGGAUUGGUAUAGUUUUUCCUUUGUAACUAGACAGGCCAUUGCUUUGUUCUAAUUUUUAAAGGCUUUCUUGUAAUUGGAUGAUUCUUUAUGAAACAGGUUUGGGCAACUCCAAGCUAUUGAUCUUGAAAGUAUUGAGCCAGCAAUGCGAGCAGGUACUUGACAGUUUUGAAUGAAAAUCUUUAUUUGGUAGCUAGUCUAUAGUUGAAACGCUUGAUAAGGCUUACCUUUUGGUCCAAUUUUGGAACUCUAAAAAAGAGGUCAGGCUUUCUGUAACAUUAAAGAAUGAAAGUAUUUUUUUAAUCUGCUCCUUCCUUUUUAUUUCUUUCAGGCAUUAUUGUGUCUACCUCUUGUUCUACUUGAUUUAUUUAAAAUUAUUCUCAGCAUGUUCAAUUGCUUAUCAUUGAAAAUAUCUAGCAUUAGCUGAUUUGAACCCAAAAGGUGGGAGAUUUGUCAACUUAAAGUGCAGGAGACAUCGUGCUGAUAACAUGCAAUUGGAAUUUAAAUUGGCAUGUUUUCAUAUUUUUUUCAAUGUUGCUCCACCCCAGCAACCAGAAUAUUGAUAUUGCUACUGAUGAUCCUUUCUUGCUUUGACAAUCUGUCAUAUAAGUGAAUAAGAAUAUAAGCACGAACAAGACAUGCCUUCUUGGUUUCAUCUACUGCUAUUGUCCUUUGACUGCAGAUUUUAUACUUUAGUUACAGAUUCAUUUGUUGGAAAUAUGUUGAACUGCAGAUACUGAAGAUGACAAUUCACGUGAUGAUUUACCUCAAAUUUUUGAGAAUCGGUUGGUAUCAGGAAUAUCUGUGAUCUACUACUGUUCAAAGUAGCAUUGCAUCUCUGUCUGCAAUUAUAAGAAUCAUCACUUAAUCUUAGAUGAACACACGUUCUCAACAGGGAAGCAAUAAUAAAAGCUAUGCCAAGCUAUGAGGAACCUUAUAUCAAAGUUCCAAAGGUCUUGAACAAGGAGUAGAACUCUACUGGUGUGUUUUCCUCCUCUCUUAAGUGUUACUUGAAUAUACUAAGGUUGCUUAUGAAGAACUUCUUACCUCAUCUAUGUUUAGCCUCUUUGCAUUCGCACUUUGUAUUUUCUGUUUUUAUGUUUCUAUGGUCUUGUUUUUGGUUGCUCCAUGUCAAACUUCAAAAUUUACCUCUCUUGACUCUUUUGUUUUUAGGUUAAACGGGAAUUAUGAAUGGGGUGUGAUCCCAGUCAAUUUACAUACAUAAGCUUGCAUUACUGAUUUUCAAACUUACAAGUAGCAUGAGUUACAUUCCUAGUUCUUUUUUCUUGUGUUUUUAUGAUCAUUAGCCCAUGGCAUCUUGAAUUCUUUUCUAUGGUUGACUUAUACUGGAAAUACCAGUUUGAUGUACUUGCGCCAGUUGAUUAUGUAUCUGUGUAAUCAUUUGCAUUCAGUAUAUUGACAGUUUAAGUAGUUUGGUGCAUCUUUCUAGUCUCUAGGUACCUUUAUAUCACAUACUCUUAUCCCAUCUUACUGGACAGGGUUGUGGAAUGCACCAAUUAACAAAUUAUGGGUUUGUGUUGGACAGAAUACAUGAUGAAGCUGGACUGAGCUUCUAGUUUCUGACAAGAUAGUGAAACCUGUUCGGCCUCCCCAAGUACGCAAAUCUAAAUUUUAAGGAGCUGUAAAAUCCAUUUUCUGAUUCAUAGUUCUCCCAAUAAAAUAGGGGAUUGUGCUUUGUUACAGUUUUUGUAUGUUCAGAAUAUUAUAGUACGUUUGAGUUGAAAUUAUAUUUGACUGUAAAAACAUGAGAAAAUUAUUAUGAUUGACAUGCUGCUUGAAAAGAAAUGCAACAAGGACUGAAGGAAUACAACUACAACCUAAAUUUGUGGACAAAAUUUGGACAACAAUGACAAUUUAAACUGACAACUUGCAUUCAGAUGAAGGUUUCGAGAUAAACAGUAUAAGCACAACAAAACAAACAAAAAAAAAAAAAAUCAUCAAAGCUCGGGUUUGGUUAAUUUGGAGCAACAGAUUGCCCUUUUCCUGAAAUUCUGGUCAUAAUUUCCUGUUACAAAAUAAUGCUAUACAUUCUUGCUUGACAGUUCAUCUACCUCCCUGAUAUUUGAUGUAUUGGAGUCUUAUCUUCUUCAAAGUUUCAAGAACACUUUUCAUGCAAGUCUUUCCUUGGGAGAUUCAGACACACAACGCAAGUCCAGUUCCAUGAUUGAUGAUAUGGACCUUUCGACUUUUCUGGUAUAGUUGUUCAUUUGGUUUCAACAAGUUAGCAUCUAUAACUUGAAGAAUCUCACUAGGCAUCAAACCUUUAACCCAACCCUUCAGGUUCAAAUACUCACCAAAUAUUUCACAGCAGGGCUAGUAGUAGUAGUGUUGGUUAUUCCUUCAACAUAUCACAGAGACAGGUCCGAGAGUCACUUCUUUCACUGUUGAGUGUUCUCCACCCUCAUUUGGUACAAACUUGACAACAAUGCAAACCUUCUUCUCUCCUCAAAACAUAUUCAGUACAGUGGCUGGUUGUACUCUACUUUUUGGUGCAGCAACCCAGUUAAGUGAAAGGACGAUUGCUCAAUUCUAUUCUUCUGUGCAUCUUGCUUUUAGAGAUUUUUUUUUUUUAUUUUUUGAACAUUAAAUCUAACCAUUAGCUAUCCAUCUUGUUUUCAGGAGAACUUUUUCUUUGAAUUCAAAAUCAAAUAUUUAGCAACAAGGCUAGUUAUUAUGUAUACUUUAUUAUUUCCCUCCAAUUUCAUCAAUAUCUAUACAAUAUUUAUGCUAUAUAUAAAUGGAGAGCAGUAGUGGUUGGUAUAAAUAUUUUCUGUCGUUUUUCAAACUUUCAAUUUUGCCCCUACAUUUUUUUUUACCCUAAUCACCUGAUCACAUUUCUUGACACAACCGCUCAUAACUACUCCAAGUAUUGCAACUACCAAAUAAUCUAUUUUUUAAUUGAAGAAAAAAUUACCUAUAAAUUGAAGGUUGUUAAUGAAAAAUUCGUAUAAAAUUUAUUAGUGUAAAAAUAAAAUUCACAAAGUCUAAAUUGCACACACAUUGGGCGUGCCUUUAACAUGACUAUAAAUUGAUCAAUUUUAAUAUUUCACAAUAGCCAGUUUUACAGCAAGUUGACGAAUGCAACGCCAAACAAUAGAAUAAACAAACCUUCAGACUUGGUUCUUUGGAGGUAACUUCAUCCAAACUUUGAGGAUGCUAAUUGGCUCGAGUACAACCUCGACUCCAUUUCCAUGGGCUUCACCCUUGUGCUAUGCACUAACAACCCCUACCUGUUUCUGUUGUACUGACACCUGCGAUUACUGCCAUGAUCAUACUCCAAUCAAGCUACAUCUCUGCACUUCCUGUGUUCUUAAUCUGAUCCAUAGAUUUGCAGCAUGGUACCAACGCUGUUCAAGGAAGUUGUACAGUAUCUUCAAGUGAGCAUGGAAUGAGGCAUGAUCUUACAAGUUACGGUAGGCAAAUAUGUUCGCAGGAUUCCUCACCAACAACAAACUGCUCUCAGUGACUAAAUCUCGUCCACCUCAAAGAGUACAGUAGAAAGGCUAUACAUGUAGCCGUCAGAUCUUAGAUGAUCCAUGAACUGAUCAAGCAGAUUGUAGAUUGCCCUUGAAUCUGCAUGCCUUGAAUCUGCAUGCCUUUCGUCACUCACCAUGAAUUCAUGUAUAUUGCCGCAGAUUUCAAUGGAACUAACUGCAUCAUGCUUUUUGAUACCAUUAUCAUUCAUCAAUUUUCUUAUAUUCUUCAUGUCUCCCCAUCUUUUAGCUUCAGAAUAAAUGUUUGACAUGAGCACAUAGAGCCCACAAUGACUAGCAUAUGGUUCCUGCUCCAGCAGCUGCUUUAGGACCUGCUCUGCAAUUGUGAUAUUAUGAUAAAUCCUACAAGCAUUCAAUAAAGAACUCCAAAUAACAGUGUGUGGCUUCAUUGGCAUUCUUCCUAUCAGCUUUACUGCUUCAUCCAAAAAGCCUCCACGCCCAAGAAUAUCAACCAUGCAAGCAUAAUGCUCAAUUUCACGUGGUACUCCAUACACAGAACUCAUUUUGUCAAAGUAAUACCACCCAAUGUCUGUUAGACCACUGUGACAACAAGCAGAUAAUAAGCCAAUGAAGGUGACCUUGUCAGGCCACUUUCCACCAGCUUGCAUCUCUUCAAAUAGCUGAAUGGCUUCAUGUCCAAACCCAUGAAAUGCCAGGGCUCCAAUCAUGACAUUCCAGGAGACAAUAUUCUUCUCUGGCAUCUCAUUAAAAAGAUCAAAUGCAUUUUCAAGAGAACCACAUUUUGAGAACGUAUCUAUAAGUGCAUUAUUCAAAGUAACACUAGAGUUUAUGUUGUUACAGCGGAUAUAAUCCUGAACUUUAUUCCCCAUCACCAAAUCACCAAGUUGGCAACAAGCUGAGAGAACGCUAACCAAAGUAAUCUCAUCAGGCUCCACUUUAGAGUUGCACAUUUCAAAGAAGAGAUCCAAUGCAUCCUGCAAGCAACCUUCAUGGAUACAACUUGACAUCAUUGAAUUCCAAGAAACAACAUUUUUCACGGGCAUUUGGCUAAAAAUAUCCUUGGCUCUUUCAAGGCAACCAUGUUUGGCAUAAGCAGUAAGGAGAGAGGUCCAAGAAACGACAUUUCUAUGGACCAUACGAUCAAAAAGUGUUUGUGCUGCGUGAAGGUCUCCACACUUAGCAUACAUAUCAAGAAAUGCAUUUUGUAAAACAAUAUCAACACCGAUCCCAUUUAUGACAACAUUGUGGUGAACGAACUUCCCCAACUCCAAGUUGCAAUCAUGAGAACAAACAGAAAGCAAAUACAUAAGAGUAAAAACAUCGGGUUGGAUACCUCUACCCCUCAUUUCAAGAAACAGUAAGAACGGUUGUUCGCCACAACCCACUCUCGCAUACCCACCAAUCAUCGAAUUCCAGGAAACCAAAGUCUUUUCCAUGAUUUCAUCAAACACCUUCCUGGCGGAGGCGAUAGUCCCACAGCGAACAUAUACAUUUAUAAGACCAUUUUCAACACAAACAUGAGAUUCAUAUCCUAAUUUAACAGCCAUCAGAUGAACUAAAACACCAUCUCUAUAACUCUCUUUAAUACCACAAGCCUUCAGAACAAAAGGAAACGUAAAUUCAUUUGGAAAAAUAGCCGAAACAAUCAUUUGCUUAUACAGUAUCACAGCCUUUUCUGGAUCUUCACUAUUUGCAUAACCCCGGAUUAAACUGUUAUACACGUAACGGUUUCGCUGAGGAAUUUCAUCAAACAGUAUCUGCGCAUAUUGAAUAUCACCCCAUGGUGAGAGUGCAUAGGACGCUAUGAGUUUGUUUACAGUUAAGUCACGAUGGGCUAGGCCAUGGACGAUGAUUCGGGCGUGCAGACUCUUGAUUCCUUUCACGGAUAAGCAUUUUUUGAUGAGGGAAUGGAGGGCUUGGAGCCGAGGAGAUUGAACAUUGUGAGCGAACGACGACGAAGUAGUAAGCUUACAAUUAAGGCGGGCAGCGACGGUCAAGUACCCAAGAGAUUUGAACAUAUCAGUCCCACGUCGGACUUCAAUUCUGCUUGGCUCCGAAACUUCUCCAAAGUAAUAUUCACUCCACACUCCACCCUCUGCAUCCUUGUAAUCUAAACCUUGAGAUCUCCUCCCUUUAUCUUGUAACCAUUCGAGCAGGUUUCAACCAUCAGGACUCACUGUCAAUUUCCCCGGCAUAAAAUCAGAAGCCCAAAGCCACAAUCAUGUGUCCAUUACCUCCGCCUACCCUGAAGCUCAUCCAGAGUACUCCAAAAGUUACCACCUCAUUUGCCAAGAGCACAAAUGAAUCAACCUAAUUGAAUUUUGACUCAACGAGUCGAAUUUCAAUUUAAUUUUUUAAAAUUUAAACCCGAACUCAAAAUGUAAAGUUGAAGUUCAAACUCAGGCUCUCAAGCAUAAAAAAAAAACUAUAUAAUUAUUUUUAUUUUUAAGAAAAAUAAAUAAAAUAAUAAUUUUAUUAACAAAUAAUAAAGUAUUAAAAAACAUUAUAUAUAUAAUCGCACCAACUCGCGAGCUAACGAGAUAAAUGUCUUUAAACUCGAGUUCGCCUUGAUUAACUCGAACCACUCACAAGCCGAUUCGUUUGCAACCCUAGAAGAGACUUGCUGGAACAAAAGCUAUCAGACAAUUAAGAAUCAGUUGUGAACCAGACCACAAAAAUCAAACGCUCAAGCACACCAUUGUCCAAGAAUAUCUGAUGCCACCACUUUGUUUCAACCCCAGCUGUGCGAGGGAGGAGUUAAAUCUGUUCAAACGGUACUCAAAUGGCAGGCUUGAAAUGACUCGAUAAGCAGGAGCAAUGCCAUUACAUAUAAGCACACCGCAUUGCUGACAUUCGACCAAAAAAAAAACAGCAAAUAGGGUGCGAAGAUCAAUAAUAACCACCGCAAUACAACUCUAUAUGAAUAGAUGGCACGGCAACAAAACCAUGUAUGAAUCGAUGGCCUGGAAGACAAUAAUACAAUACAUCCAUACUAAUAAAUCAUUAGCAUUAUUAAGUAGAAUGAGCGACUGUCUCUUGCUGGAAUUGAAAAGAACUAACUAGUAGAAGAAAUCUAUUCCUUGCGCAUAUCCGUUAACAUUUACAUUGCAAAAGCUACAGCUGCACAUCAAAAAUGGUCAGCUACACACAUGAUGCCAAUCUCUUUUAUCUCUCUCUUUCUAUCUACGUCAUUUUCUAAUUUCCUUUCAUUUUGCUAAAUACCUUUCUACUCCUGUAUUAAUCAUUCUAUUUCUACACUCUACACUGAGGCCACGUUAAACGAAAAUGCACCAACACGAACCGAACAAAAACUGGAUGGUGUUAACAUGUAAAAAUCAUGAUUGCCAGAACAAUUCGAAGUCAGUGCUAUACAAAGAGCGAUCUUGAAUCUCCAAAUUUGCAACAUGCCAAUUUAUAAGCUGCGACUGGAUACAUUUACACAAAACCAAAGCAAAAGGAAAUAUCCACCAUUCACUUUCAUCCCUGCAUCCACAGCAAUUAAGGAGACAACUUUAGAACAUGCAUUUGCUGUUCAAAAUCGCACUAACUCCUUAAAUGAAAUUAUUGAGCACUGCCAAUGAAUUCUCUUACAUGUUCCAAGGCUGAAUGUACGGAAUUUUUCUCCUUGAUUGGGUGGUGUAACGGACAUAUCCACAAACAAAGGCAACAACCUGAUACAAGAAUUCAAAUUUUAACAAAUCAUUUAUCACAUGAAUUUGUAGCUAUUUUGUUUGUGUGUGCUCGUGUGUUGGGGGUUGGGGGAGGGGGGGAAGGGGGGAGGAGAUUGGAAAUGAUUACUCACAAGGAAAACUUAAAUAAGCAUAAUGGCAGAAAUAAAGUUAAAAAAUCAGAUGAAGCAUAUAAUAACUAAAAGAUCUGCAUCAACCCCCUGCCAUUGGUGCUAAAGAACGAUUCUAGAAUAAACAUUUACAAAAAUAAGCUACUUACAACAUUUAUCAGGGAUGUGACAUUCCACAAAGCAUACAGACGGGCAAGACUGGCUGAAUGUCUUGGUCCAUGACUGAAUAGAGCAUUGAUUCCAGUAGGGAAUGGAAGUAAGAUCCCCAAUGGUAGAAUAAACAAAAAGAGGAAGACAUCGGCCAAUGAAACUGAGUACAGCUGGAGCAUAGUCAACAAAACUAAGCUGAAAUCACCUAGAAGUAGCAUUGAAAUGACCAAACCAACAAGAUCCUGCAGUAAAGGCGCAAGGCAUGUUCAGCGAGCAAAUAGCACCUUGAAUAAUAUUAACAGCACGACAUGCAACAAAUACCAUCACAGACAGCAUCUAUGCAUGCAUUUGCAGAAAGAGAGAGAGAGAGAGAGAGAGGAGCAACUACCUGGUGGCCAACAGGUUUAGUGUUAUGCAUUAGAAAAGAGAGCGCAAAAAGUAUAUCUCUUUUCUCCUCAAUUUUCUUUAAGCAGUUGACAUCUAGAAUCCCACCAUAAAUCUUCCGCCUGACAUUACUUUCACUGCUUCUACGAGUCAGACCAAAGAAUGAAUCUUCUGUUAAACUGGAUGGAACUUCCCAAUUAAUAGUGCUACCGCUGUAUCGAGAAAAAAAAAGAGAGGGGGGGGGGGUGGAGAAGAAGUUAUGCUCAAGGGAUUUGGCAAAAGGGUUGGCAAAUAAUAUCUAUAAAUUUUCCGUAACCAAGAGUAAUUCAGCUGGAAAUCUGCACGUCUAAGAAGACUACCCCAAAGCAAAUAGUAUUAGAGUUCCAGGACAAAUAAAAAUCAAACAAUUUAACACUUUUGUAAAAUUUAUCUAGCUACCUACUACUAUCGGGCUUUUCCAGCAAUGCUUCAAUGUUACCAACUGAACUUUCGGCAGAUUAUAAUACAUGCCACUAUUAGUCACUUGACUGAGAAUGUUGGUUAAACAAACUAUUGAAGUACUCCAGACUUAGUCUUAGAUGCAGCAGUCAAAACCACCGGCACCUCCCAGGCCAACCUCAUCCCAAUAGCUUUCAUUUACUUAUAUCAGGGGGACUGCAGCAUGCCCUUGCAUUGUAAAAAUUACUCUCCUUAAUUUUCCCCUUUUUUUGGCAAGAUGGGUUAAGCAAUUACUAAGAGAAAGAAAUUUAGAAACUUAACCCCCCCCCCCAAAUAUGUUUUUCUUUUAAUAAAAAAAGUAUUUAUGAGCCUAGUGGGACGACAGAGAUGGCCAUGGAAGGGGCAGUCAUCGUUGUUGCUGGAUAAGGGUGUGGUCUUUUAGUCUGGAUUCUGAAUCUCCUAGAGACGCAAGUCACAUUUUUCUCUUCGGAUGAUGUGCUUUCAUGCCUGCACUAGUUUAUUUUGUAGCUUUUUAUAUUAGCUCUGUUGACUACAGAAUUUUUUGACAAUAUCAUACCUGCAAAAGAACUAACAAUCAUGUCCACUUGGAACACCUAUUUGCAUUCUUGACUUCUGAAACAAAUACUCAUGCAACUAACAUAAUCUGCUGGAAUGGUGUAGUAUAGAACAAUACCGUAACUGAGGCCCAGUCCUAAGAGCUCCAUCAAGGUCUUGAAAAGACAAACGUCCAGUAUCUCCAUCAACAGCAUCUAACACAAGCCCAUAUUGACAAAAACCACCAGUGGUAGUCUGAAACCAAGCAAGAUCUACAUGUAUGGCAUAGAUCUUUAAAGCAGGAUUGGCAAAAGUUUCCAGCCACUUGAAAACAGGCCGAAACGUCGACCUGAGGCAACCACGACGUACUAAGCGUAAUUGGGCAUUCAAACCAGCAACAAAUCGGAACCAUGUGGUAGGUGGGACAGCCUGCAUACUAAGAAUUUUGAGAACCAUACCUUAUUUUUGUGUAGAAAAGUUUAAUGAAUAGCACAUGUGAACAAACAGUGAAAUCAGUGCCAAGCCAACUUGCUUGAAGCUAAGGAGAAAGAAAAGCUCAUGCAUUGUAUUCUAGUGUAUCAAACAUCUCAAGGCAAUCAAAAUAUCACAUCAACCAUCCGAGUAAAAACAUCUUGCCUUUCUAUUUGCAAUUGAGGUUCAUUUACCUACAUCCAGCUAUAAACCUAAGCGGUAUAACACAACAAACCUGACUCAUAAGACUAGUGGUGAUAUUGUCACUGUGAAGUGAGAAGGGAGCCAUGUAACUUCCAUCACCUCCAAACAGCAAAUACAUAGGAAACCUUUGAUGAAGACGAGGAGGUAGAUCACUUCUUUUCUCAUCCCCACCAAGAAAGAAGUCCAUAUAUGCAAGCAUUAGGUCAGAUGUAGCAGCUACCUAAAAAUUGAAAAAGCUCGAGUAUCAAUUCACAUUUAGGUUGCUCUGGACAAUGGAAAUACUUUUAAUCAGCUAAACAAGGGUUCUGCAACAUUCGCUCCAAAAACAGUACUAUGUUUUGUAGUAAUGACAAUAGCUAGCCAGGCAACAGUGCUUUAGAAAGAAAUAAUGAAUAAACAAACAUAAGAAGCUAAAAAAGGAGAACAAAUAAUACACCACAAUUCACCUGAAGAAAAGCCAAGUCUUUAUUUUUUGAGGUGGCCUUAAGAAUCAAUUACAUCCAGUUUUGGAAAAGAAAUAAAAGCAGAAUGGCUAAUCAGCUUACUAUUUCUAUUGAAUUAGUAUCAUCUGUUAUUUACAACUUUCCUAUUGUAUUUACAGAAAAAAGUCAGAAUGUGGGAAAGCAGAGAGCUAGAAACAACCAAAUGAGUCAUAUCAAAGAGCUAGUAUGCAAUUAUUUCCAUCCAGAAAGCACAUUGUGCCAGAAGUUCCCCUGAUCAAAUCUCGUAUACUUAUCCAUUACUUCACCCAGCAAUUGAAAGAAACAACGAUAAAACAGACCUAUCAACAAUUGAAAACUUUUUUUCCUCGUACUAACUUUUCCCCUUACUAUUAAUUUCUCAAAGAUUAUGACUGUGAAUUGGAAGAGCCUAUGGAUUCUGCUUCCAGUCCUGGCCAACCCCCAAAACCACCUUCCACCCUUCAUCAAUAAUAUGUAUGUCCUUUUCAUAGGCUCCUAUAGUAAAUAAUUUGCUGACACUAACAAGGUAUAAUUGAAGCUCUAAAAUAUAGUAGUAUGCUGCUAAGUCAAAAGGAAACAUCCCAAUCAAACAAGGAAACUCCCAAAAGUGAACAAAAGAGCUGACUAAUGUCCAAUUGACCACCACAAAUAAGAGCAAAUUGAAAGACAUAUCAUAAUGCACUUGAACUCCUCAAGAGACUGAACAGAAUUAUGCAAAACAUGUAUAACUACCUAAAUUCCUCUUUUCUAUUGAGCAAAAAGCUAACCUUAAGCCCUUCAUAGAGAGCACGGGACCGACAAGAACGUAAACAAGCAUGAUCAUAUUCUGAUCUCACAAACUCACGGAGACGUUGUAACUUGAUCCUACGGCGCCAUUGCUGCCACGACCAUGCAAGAGGAUAUGCAACAAUACAUAGAAUGCUAUGCACUGAUCCUUCCCACCACUGAUAUGCUGCUAUAGCAUUGAUCUCAUCUACAAAUGUGUUGAAUGCACCUUCAUACCUACAAAUUCAAUUUUCAAAUGCCAAACAAUUUCAUCAUACUUUUAGUGAGCACUAAUCUAAGAUCUAAAAGAAUGUAGAUCUAAAAAAAAUCCCAUCCACCAACUGCAAAGCCCAGAAGAGGAAAUUUCGGAAACAGAGAGAUGACAAACAUGGGUCCUCAGUAUGUAUAAACAAAUUAAUAAAACCAAGGCUUGAUCUCGGAUAUAAAUAUAUUUGGAAUGCAUUCGGACCAGAUGCAUAACUAUAAGAGAACUACAACAGGCCUUAAACUAAAACUUACACAAUUUCUUUUAUUUCUUCAGGAGGUGUAUGAGGAAGAUGCCAGGGUUCACCAAAAGUAUUAGGACCCAGAAAAUACAUUCUAUGUACGUGACUCUGUGACUCCUCAACUCUAUUCGUCUCCAAAACCUGAAAGUUUUGACAUGUAUCAGACUUUUAGUCCUUUCAAUGCUGGCUGAAAUUGUCUAGAUAUUAGAUCAGUCACAAUCUUGUUAUAGUAUUUUGAGUCCAUACAUCAGUCAUUAUAGCAAGAUAGGAUAAUGCAAUGUCAUCCAGAGAAUACCUCAUUAAGUGACUCCAGGAAUGGAAAUGAAUGAUCAAUUUGGGAGCCAUGCCGUGUGGGCCCAGGACCUGGUAAUUCAUCAACCCCAACAAACUUCAUUCGUGCAACGCUGAGGACCAGGGCUAAUAAAAUGAGGAGACCCAAUAGGAGAAGACCAAAAAGCCAAGGCCCUCCAAAUGUGUAUAUCAACUCCUCAAGGGCAGUGUAACAGUGAGGCAUGUGAUACCUCUCUGAAAGACAUUGAUAUGGACAAGGUGUUUCAGUAAUGCCGCCUGCAGUAGGGAUGUGGUGAAACAUUACAUUAGCACAAAAAUUAAAAGAUCAACCUCACUGCCACAACCAAAUGUUCGCUUAAACACCUUUACCUAGAAGCAAAAUGAGGGAUACAUUUACAGUCCUACCCUCUUUAUAAAACUCUUAAGACUUAUUUUGAAAAAGAAAAAAAACUCCAAUAAUACAUUCCCUAAACUGAAAUAUUUGCAUCUAUACGCAUUCGCAAGCAUUAAAUAUGUUCCACUAGAAUUAACAAAGCCAACAAAAUCAAGACUCACUGGUGAAACAGCUCCACCCUCCAUUGCGAAAAGACAGUAUAUUUACAGGAACAUAAAUUUUAUGAAUGGGGAGAGAUGUCAGUAGAUCAUGUUUUGCUUUUCAAAAUUUAUCCAAGUUUGCCCACAUAGGUUCCCCCUCCCCUCCCUCCCCCCACUCCCCCCCCCAGGGGCUGCCCAAAUGAGGCUGAUGAAACACGAAACCCAACAGAUAUAUAGGUUUGUUUGGAUUGCUUCAUAUUUCCCCAAUUUUAUUUGCUUGCAUCAUCUUUACAAUUUCCAAUACACCUUUUUAUCUUCCCAAUAUCUUUUUAUCUCACAUACAUCACAUCACAAAAAGUGCUACAGUAAAAAUAUCCCAAAUAAUCCCAAAUAACUUACAAUCCAAACAGACCAAAUUGCAUGCACCAUUUGAGGUUUAGGCAAAUGCAUGCACCACUCAACUGACACAAUGCAUAUAUAUAUGCCAUUGUAAGCACUGAAAAAUUCUCUGUUCUUGGGCCCACAUAAGGAAAGGUAAAAGUUGGAGGGUGUUAAGCUAAUAUCUAUUUCAGGAUAAACCAAAAUAAAAAGCAUGACGAGUUGAUGUGAGGGAGGGAGUAAAUGGUUUUGAUAAUAAAUCAUCUCCUGAAAAUCAGGCUUAUGUCUUGUGCUCCACUACAGCCAACUUUCCCCCCUAAAGUGCCUCCGGACUCUAAUUUUCUAUAGAUACUGUCCCCAAAUUCUCAGGCCAAAUGAAGAUGUAAAGUUCCAAAAUAAGUUAAAAGUCAAGAGCGAACUCCAGGAACAAAUUAGCCGCGAAAGCAAAAAACAAACACAGAGGAUCACAAUUCCCAGGCAUUGUAUAAGUACCCAUAAUUUGUCUAAUUCUCUGAAUAGCAUCAAUGGUAAUUGCAGUUAAAUUGUAUAUAAACCUAUGCAGCUCAUCAAAUGUGUUAAAAAAAAUCAAAGGCAUUAUACAAGAAAUACCUCGGACUGAAACAUAAGUAGCACGAUGAGGAAGCUCAUUCGUAGGGCAUGGGAAACAGAGAGAUCUAUCAGAUCCUGAUACAUUCUUAUAUGUGCCAGCUGGACAUUCCUGUAGAAUCACAAAAUAUGAUAUCCAUGAAUUAACCAACAAAUGGGAUGGCAGUUCCAAGAACAGAAAUGAAAUAUUUUCAGAAAGUUCUCUUUCUGCUUCAGGUUUGAACCUUUGGAGAUCAAUAUAAUAAAGAACAAAAAGGUCGAAAACCAUGUAAACAGUAUGAUGUGAGAUUCAUUAAAUAGCCAAAUCCCCCCCCCCCAAAAAAAAAAACUUUUGUUCAGUCUACAGAAAAAUAUAUACUUAGUUUCUGGGUAAUGUACACACUAAAAAGAAAUGGAAGCAACAAGUAUAAAACAUAUUUGACUCAGAAGCAAACAGAAAAUGAACGAUGGCAGAAAAAAGAAUGCUUCAAAAAAUAAUUAUGCUGACAAUAUCACAAGAAAUUACAAGAUUAACAUACCUCACAAAAUACUCCAAAAAGACCUUUUGGACAAGCUUUCCCAGUAAUGGUUCCAGCUUCCCCAGCAUUACAUUGGUCCACCCCAAUCCCACCUCUAAAGUAGAAGCACACUGGUUAAUGUACUUUGAGGCACAAUGAACUAGUAGUAAAGAAACUAAUCAAUCAUCACCUUUCACAAUUAUGAAUUAAUAAAAGAUUACAGAAAAACAAGAAUCUGAAACUACUUGAAGGCACAAUCAGCAGAUACCAAAGAAACUGGCCCUGCUGUUUUUUAAAUAAAAAGAGUCUUCAGCCACAUGAAAGAUGUCAGCAAAUGGAAAUGAAAGCUUGGUACUUACUACAUCUGAGUGGGUAUGUACAAAAGACGAUUAGACCUGAUAGUGAGAAACAUCUUGACAACAAUUUAACAGGCAACACACUAAUCAUAACUUUACCCUCAUGGAUGGAGUGGCAACUGGGUUUUUGCAGUCUCCUUGAAAAUCAAGGAUCAUCAUGGUUAGGUAUAAAGCAAAAAUUCAUGAGAAGAAGAAUCAUCAUUCAAACAGUGGGUUGCAGCAUUGAAGUGGGAGACAGAAUCAUAUAUUCGAAACAUGCAAGGCACCAAUUGCGGAAUCUUCAGUUUGGUAUUGACUUCUUGAAGCUACAUCUACCGAAGUCGAUAUUAAAAAUUUUAGAAAUUGCAGGGAAAUUAUCAGCUGCAUGCAAAUUGUGUAAGAAAAACUAUGGGCUUCAUUUUGAUAGCUUCCUAAAAUAAAUUCAAAAGAUGUCCAAACCACAAAUAAACAUCUCAGUUGCAUAGAGGUUCAGAUUGUGGGGGUUAUCCAUGCUUCACCUGCAUUUUGUUCUCGUGUCAAACUUUGUUCACCAAUUUCAUUAAUUUUCUAAGACAACAUUUUAGCAUACAUAUCUCUUUGUCUGGACCUAAACUAAAAUUAUUAAUACAUUAGCACCACAUCCUCAUGUUUUUUACGACAGUGAGGAGCAAAAUAUCUGCCAAAAGUUGGAGACAACCACCUCAUCUGGAAGUUAUAUCAGAAUACCACACAAGUCCAAUGUGGCAGCAACUAAAUUCAACGAGAGAUUGUAGAUCAUGCAUCACAAAAAAAAAUGUACAAUUACUAUUUCCACUAACCUGGCCAGGAUGCUUCCAUUUACAGUAGCUAUGGGCUGAUACAUGUCUCCAGUUGGAAUAUCUGACCAAUGGAAGUGAAUUCUCCCCCCACCACCUCCACCACCACCACCAACACUGCCAUGACCCCCAGCACUAGACAUAGCACCAGACUCACCAAGGUCCAGGGAAUGCAAAAACAGUAAGAUUGUUCCACCAGAACCUCCCCCAGGAUGGAAACUGUCUUUGCUUUUCAACUGUCCUCCAGAACCGUCUCCAUCAGCUUUAACCGAACCUUCAACAGAUAAACCUACCAGUGGAUGCUCCCACGAACCCAUCACUGCAUGAAUCAAGGGGAAAAAAAUGAAUAAUCAAGGAAGCAGUGCAACACAGACGAGAUCAUUUCAACAUUCAGAAAGCCAUGCAUAAACUUCAAAGACACAUAUUUCAAUGAAAUUGUCAGCAGUAUAAGCUGUUCAUUUCUCCACUCACAAGAAAUUACAGAUUUAAAAGAUCUUCAUUAAACAAAUCAGAAGGAAAAUUUUAAAAAUAAAUAAAUAAAUACUUGAAAAAUGACAAGUAAUAGUCUAUUGACGAAGCUACCAAAAACUAUAGAUGGUUUAUUAAGCUUGCAAAUUUGCAGAGAGACCGAAACGAUUAAUUCAUGAGGCCUGCAAAUGGCAAGAAUCUCCAUCUCAACACAAAUGCAUUAUUAAGCUUGCAAAUGGCAAGUACCUCCUUAACUUACUCAUAGUACCAGGUUUCAAAGAAGAAAGAGAUGGGUACUUUCCACCUCCCUGCGAUUCAGUAGCAGACCGUGUAAUAGAAGCAAAUACAAUCAGAAUCUUAAAGUUCACAACAAAUGUAACAUUUAAAACAAAUAAAAAAACUUCACUGGGUAAUUUUCAAAAUAUGGUCUAAAUAGGAAACACAUUUGAAAGGUUAUAUGGACUAAUUUGCAACAUUGAGAACAAGAAUACAAUCCAGCAAGAAAAAAUGAGCAAGUUCUAAAACCAAAAGUUAUGGAAACAUGUAGAUGUAGAUGCCGACAAUGAAACUGAAGUACUUUUAGCUUUACAAUAGUUUAAAUAUAAAAAAUCACUGUUAUUCAAGCAAAACAUACAUUUUACUCAAACUCUGUUAAUGAAAAUUUCUGUAAAUAUAACUAUCAGGUUAAUGGCAUAAUUCUUACCCAAGAUCAACACACAAAACUAACUCCAAUGCUGCUGCAAGUAAAAUACCUAAUUCCUAAUGGGAGAAAAGUCCUAGGAUGUACACAAUGAACCAAACAAACUAUGACUAGAAAAACAGGUUGAGUUCAGCAAUAUGUUUAAGCAUCCUGUGCAGCAGGAAAAUCUGACAAGACCCCUUUCUUCAUUCAGCUAUAUGGAGACUACAGAUUUCCUGGAAGGAACACUUAAUGCUUGGGUAACCAUCUCCCAAAUUUACAAAGUAUAUCCAUUAAAGUAUUAAUUGUCUCAUGUGAUGUUUCUAACAGUACACACAAUUGCUUAGAUUAGUCUCCAAAGUGAGACAAUCACAAUUUGAACUCAAUUAAAUACCAAGAAGCUAAGAGCCAAGAAAACCAGUUAUGCCCACAAGUCAGAAUUCAAAUACUGUCAUCAUUUUUUGACAGCAUGCUUCCAAUUUGGUUAGACAAAAUUUGAAAUUUUUAACGCAGUAUGACCUUCUGGUUCCUGUUGGCUCAUUUUUUAAAUAAAAAUGAAAGAGUUUCCCAAAGUGCUACAACAUCAACAUUUGGACCAAAGACAGUCCACUUUAGAGAGAUGAGCUGACCUAAAAUGCCACCACCAGCAUUUGCACUAGUUAGGCUUUCAUUUCCACUCCCACUUCCCAGCUCACAAGGUAAAUUAGUAUCCCCAUAUGACAUACCCCCCUCAAUGCAGCUAUUAUUGAAGCAUCCCAUUCCACCUCUACCACCAUGCCCACCACCACUGCCAAUACCACUAUCUGAAAAUGUCCCUUGUCCCACACCUCCAAUGCAACCUGAGGAACAAAAAACAUCACUGGUAAGGCCCUGGAACAAUAAUAAACCACAUGUAUGCCAAAUUCGCAAGGUUUUGAAAACAGAUUCAUUUUCAUGCUAAAUACAGAUGACGAAGGGCCACGCCAAUCACACUCAAAUGUUAAAUAAUGGCCACCUGAUGGCAAGGUAGGAGAUACACUUUGAAUAUGGUAAUUAAAAAGGAACUCAGAUGCAAUUAUACCCAUCCCAGUUGUGCUUAUUGUUCCAGAAGAAGGAACACUAAUAGUUCUGGCUCUAUGGAAAUGAACAACAGAUCCUAUCACGAGGCCUUCAACAAGGAUAUCUUCAACUCGGCAAAUCUGCAGAGACAAACCAACUUGAGACCUCACGGAAGUGAAAAGAACUAUAUCCCAAUAGAAUGCAGAACAAGAAAAACUCCACCUGAAGAGUGAAAGACAGUGAAGAGUUCACAUUGCAAUCUUCGGGUGGAUGGAGGAGUUCAACUGGACAAUCAUUCUGAUCACAAUGCAACUUUGGUGUCCUAUAAAAGAACAACACAAAUAUAGAUUAAAAUAGUUGCAUAUUUGAGAUAUUAUGCAACAAUUAUUCAACUUACACAGCUUCAGUUGAGGCAUUCUCUAAAGGACCACGUAAAACAGAUCCAGGACCAACCUGUAUCCAGAAACAGAAAAGUCAAAGGAGUCAACUGAUAUUGUAUAAAGUAUUUUGUACACACUUCUGGAAAAAACUACAAUGCAACUUUAGAGUUAAGCACAGAUAUUAGCAGUAUAUAAUAGUUUAACCAAAAAAAAGAGCAAUGCAUCCUUCAACUUACUUUGAUUGUGCAUAAUUAUGCAAGAGUAGAAACCUUUUUGUAGUCAAACACGUAUUUAAGCGAGAGGCAUAGUCACAUAGAUAGAUGUUUGCAUGCAUGUGUUUAUACACAAACGCAUGAGAGAGAGAGAGAGAGAAAACUAACAAAAUAGCAUACAAUUCCAACUUUGACUAAACCAGGGAAAAGAGUAGAAUAGCAACCUGAAAGGCUUAAAACCAAACAAAUGAGCCACGCAGUAUUUGGAUCUAACCAAACAUCUUGUUCUCACCAUAGGCACUACUUUUUUUUUAAAUAACUUUACGUAAAACCAUCCAACAUAUUCAAUCUCAUGGAUGCUGAAGGUAAUGAAUGAAUAGAAAUAUCAUGCCACAAAUUGCUUACAUGUAUACUAUAAAACAACGACAAAACCAGGCGUUCUGCUUCAAUGCAAUCUCCUGGUCCAGACAAAUUUAACAAACCUUGCCCGUGCACCCCUAGAUUAGCAUUGGAGUGAAUAAUAGAUGACUCCUGUUAUGGAAGCCAGGAAGAGGGAAAUUAAGAAAAGGUCAAACAAGUCAUGAGGAUCCAAAGCAAGACGGCAUACCAGUAAACUGAAGUAGAAUAACUAGAGCACCUUAAGAACAAUAAGAUUACUAGCUUCAAGCAUUGAGGUUUCAACAUUUUCAUCUCCUUCACCAUCAAUUAGCAUUCUCGAAUUCCACAUCAGAAACAUUUUAACAGACAUACGAAGAGCCCCAAAAACCUGAAAGGCCAAAAAAAGGCGAUCAUACAAGGCUACCUACCAAAUUAAAUAAAAGUAUUCUAGCGAGAUCAAAUUGCAAAAAGAAUAUGGCCAUGUCAACCUACAAGAGGCCACGUGCAAACAAUGCAUAAAAACUUCUGUAUUCAAGAAUAAUGAAAAAAACCAAAUUGUUAAAACAAAAAACCCAUGUUAAGAGCACAUCUAGAAUGAAUUGUACUACUCCAUCCACAUUUAUUUUGUCAUGGUUAUGAUUUUUUUCUGUUGCAUAGUCACUCUGUAAUGAUCUGAAACACAAGUAAAUAACCAUUUACCUAUAUAGACUUCCUUCAAGAUUUCUGCAGUGAAGAUCAUGAGAAAUAAACAAACACAUUACUUGAGGCUUAAUUAUGAAAAAUCACUUUUCCAACUAUUUUACCUUCAUCAAACAUAAAUUUUCCUUACUCUGUACCCAAUCAUCACCGUGACCAUAAAAUGGGUCAGCCAGUGCUUCAUCCAUCGCAACUUGGAUGUCUACUUAGAGUUUUAGGACUGUCCUUGACUUAGUUUGCACAACUAAAGAUGGGGACUACCUAAAGCUUCCUCAAGAGGGCCUAUAUGAUAUAUCACAACUCCACAUAGAACUGGUAGACUGCAGCAUGUCCUGGCAAUAGAGCUUGAAACGAAAAACAUGGACAAGAAUUCAUGCUGCAUUAAGUGCACAGAAUUUUAUAACUGCAUGCACCCGCUAAGUCUACAAGAACUUUAAACCAGUAGAAACACGACCACACAGAGAGAAAAAUGAGAAUAUAUGUCUAAAAACAACAGAUAAAGGGAGAAAAGUAGAGGAACAUGCUUCCAAAAAAUUAAUUGCAGGAGAAUCAUUUCGAAACACACCAUCUCAUCAUAUCAGUAUGAUACAACAAAGAAAACAUAAAAUGUUGCCAGUAUCCAAUGAAAAAGAAAAAGGUUACCGCUACCUUAAUAACAGAAUCACUCAUUAACAGUUCUUCUGCCAAUAUUUCAAAUUCUGACAUAGAAUAAUGUGCCAAUCCAAAGCUCAGUUCUCCACCAGACAAGAGGCUAAUUUGCCCUUGGACCUAAUACAUAAGAAUUACAGAUACAUCAAGUACUUGAAUAAUUCAAAGGAAAAAAGCAGAAUAAUGUACUGAAUAUCCACUGACAGUCAAUGCAUUAGCUUCAAUUCCAAAAGCUAAUAAUAACUGAAAAUAAUCAUAUCUGCAGAUAUAGAAAGGCACACAUGGCCUAGGACACAAAUAGCAGAACAACAUACAAAAUAUCCAAUGAGAGAACCAAUACAUUACAUUAGUUCCAAAGUAUAUAAUAGCUGAAAGUAUUCAGAUCUGCUAACACAGAAGGCACAUCACAAACAGAACAAGGCACGCGUAGGCAUGGACAUCGCUAGUGCUUGAUUUGACUUUCCACUUUUAUUUGAUGUCAAUUUGUCUCCUUAUUAUCCAAAAGAGUUUUAAGAUAAAUCUGAACAAAUAAAUAGGUUCUGACUAUGUCACUAAGAAAGUAAGAAAGACUAAAUUUAUAGACCUGAACACGACUCCAAAGCAAGGGAACAGAGGCCUUGGCCUGAUUUUGGAUGUAGAUAUUUGUCAAAAAUGGUUGAGGAAAGUCCAAAAGAAGUGUGUCUGUAUCUGUAGAUUUGUUGUAAUUGUCAAUAGUAAGACUGCGCGGAACAGCAUCAUAAAUGCUCCCCGCUGCACCAGCGUUUUCUUGGCAGCCACGACUGCUUCCUCCUGUAAGAACAGAAAUUAACUCAGCAUGCACACUAAAUCCACAUUCCACAUUUAAAGCUGGGUAAAUUUAAGGCAAUAACCAGCAAAUUAUUGUACUCAUUUGAUGUUUUAGAUCAAAACAGGAACAAACUCUCAUCCACUUGUUAUCCUAUUCAAGGCAUAGCCCAGGCUGAUGAUGACAUAUCCAAGCAAGGCCAAUUCUAAGAGACCAGAGAAUGUACAGUAGUAUUACAACCAGACCACGGAAGACCAUUGCUUUCAAAAAAGCCCAAAAUAAGCUACCAACAAACAGGUUAGUAGUAUAUGCAACAAAAAUUAUUCCCAAAAAAAGGGGAGAGAGAGUCUAUGAUAAUCCCUCAAGCUAUGUUACUUGGACUCGGCUACUGACUCCUGCCGACAUGGUUACUCUAGUGCAAAAUGAUGAGUCAGAUAUGGGUACAGCAGGGAAAAGUGAAGAGUCUGAGUAACAUAGCCCCCCAGCCUCGUUACCUCAUCAAUUUUAUGACAAAACUUCCCAACAGAUUAAUUUGGCUAUACAAAAGUUCCAAUGAAAUGAACCCCUUCUCUAAUCUCUUUUCACCUCUCACAAAUAUAGACUUGUCAUCUCUGGUAAAUACUAGAUGGCCAUAUGUGUAGAAACCUGUUGCUGUCAACAAAUAGGAUGAAGAAAAAGCCUCCCCAAUUGCUCCCUUUUUAGGGUUUACCACAACGGAUAUAAGCAAAAUAUCGAGCUAUAAACAAAUAUAUCACAGGUUCAACCUCCAAUAAUGCCCUUCAAUGCAUUCAAUUUAUCCUGAGCUUCAACUCUAAAUUAUAGUACAGAAAAAGCCAACAGGAUCCAAUUUAGAUAAUUAAGACAGAAAUAAAAGCCCCGCGUUUAGGAAAAAAGCAACUAAGGAUAGAAAGAUCUGCAACAUUAUUAUUACAGAGGUGAGUAGCAUAAAAAGGAGACUGAUUAUCUAGCAAUCAAAAAAGUGGACAUCAGAAGAAAAGUCAAAUUGCAGAUAUAGUAUUUUCCAGCACUGAAAGAACUAAUGAAACUUCAAACAAUUAUGGAUAAAGAGCAAUAUCAUGUUUGGCUUACAGCUUGGAAAACUUUUACCACAAGAAAAUCAUAUUAUGAAUCAUACCAUAUGCAAAAAUCUCCGGAUCCUCAUGGUGGCUAAAAACAUCAACAGAUACUCUUCCGCCACCUCCACCAGCAAAGCCAUUACCUCCACAUGCACUGAUAUAACCACUCCCAAUCCUAAACUUGCAAAAAUUGUUGUACUUUAGAAUAAAACUACAUUAUCAAUACUCAUGAGUACUAAAGGUGCUAAUAAAUUGAUUAUAACUCACAAAGAUAAGAAUAAUUUCAGAAACCAAUAGCAUAUAUGAGAAAGUAAUUGCAAAAAUUUUGGCUUGUGUCAUGACAGCUAAGCCACAAUCCUAUUAUUCCUAUUCAAUAAGUUGGACCCAAAAAAAAAAAAAAAAAAGCAUCAGAGAACCAAUAAAAGAUUAUUAUUCAAUAGAAUGACAUUCUCCAGCAAAUAGACAAAUAUUUUAGAUAAUUAUAUGCACAAAAGAACUCGUAAAAUGGAUAGAUAUGGACUGUGACACAAUUACAUGACAGUAAACAGACCAUGUACAAUUCUAGAUUAUUAGUGAACUCAUCCACUCUAUGAACAAGAAACAUUGUGCUUGAAACACUGAUCUAGAUCAUAUUAGCAUAUCCCUAGAACCAAAAAUCGUAUGUCAGGAACCAUGAAAUAUAAUGGGUAUGUUUGGAUUGCAAGACUUUCAAAUAAAAAUCUCAAAUUUUGUUUUGCUUGCAUCAUACACACAAUUUCCAACGACCUUUUUAUCUCACAUACAUCACAUCACAAAAAGUGCUACAGUAAUUAUUUCAAAUAACCUCCUAUCCAAACAAACCCAAUUUAUCACUACUGCAAUGCAACUGUUUAGCAGCCUUAUACAGUAACUAUAACAAGUAUUAGCAUCAACAAAGUCGUUUGAAGAUUAAGUUCUACUAGAAUUAGUAAAAACACAAAUAAAAUUGAAAAAAAUAGAACUAAGAUAAUAGGUAAAACUCAAAUUCUCAUUCCGAAUUACACUCUGUUCAAAAAAAGCAAUGGGUUUAUAGCAAAUUCUCAUUUCUCCAGGACGGACUCCAAAAAUACAAAGUAUUGCAAAAGACUCCAAACCCACUUCAUGACAGGCUGUCAGCUUGACUGGGGCAUUAGCUUAGUGUAGCUUUUGAAGGGAAGUUCCCCUCCCACAAAGAAAAUCCAGAUGCCUCCCUCUCUCCCCCUCUCAAAUAGUCUUCAGCAUGCAAUAGACCAAACCAAUUGAUACUAAUGCACAUAACAGGAGAGCUCCUAUUGAUAUUUAGUAACAUGCAGAAUACAAAUUUCCAGUAUAAAGAAAAAGGACAAUAUAUAGCGAGAACUGAAAUGGAUUUGACAAGUGGCAAUAUAAGUUUUUGCAAAUGUUGUCCAGAAAUCAACCAAGAUACACCAGUUUCAUGGUUGAACGCUUAUAUCCAGCUAUUUACCAUGCACUCGCAAAGAACCUGCAUUAGAAGAAAUUACACUUUCCUGUGCAUAUUUCACAAUGUUCUCAAUAUCUGUUUUCCACUUUUAUAUGCUAAAAGGUAUUAAACCAUAAGUAACUUCUUUUAUUUUCUACCUUAGUAUUGGGAAUCUCUAUCCCUGAAGUUCAUCUACACGUGUAUGAUUUUUUCCACUUUUCCUUGCUCUAGUUCUUAUUAAUUUGGAGAUAACAUUUGUUAUUCAUUUUUGGGAGGGCAAAAAACCCAUAUGACCACUGCACCAAUCCUAUUCCAAGAAAAAACCUUGUAAAACAAUCUCUCUACACAUCAGCAUUGCCCCAACCUAACAAAAUUCCUCAUUGUAAAUUGUAAAAAUCCAAAUCCCAGUGAAAUGCAGUAAAGGGGAACACCACAAAACUGGCCAAAAGCUUAAGCAGUUUAACAGCAGUUAGAUGCUUUCACACCACCUCAAAAACAAGACCCUAAAGUAUGUGUCAGGAUCAGUAAAAUUUCAAGGCUAUUAAUGUCAAGCUUAAGACCUAGCACUAAUCACAAUUGUCAAUUAAAAAAGACGAGACAUAGUUGACCAUUGAUACAUCGUUUUAGGUUGAUUACGACGUUACCAAUUAUGCGAACAACAUAACUUCCAAAUGGAUCUUUCAGCUUGCAAAACAAAGAAUAUUUUAUGCAUGGCCUUAUUGUUUACCUACAUAAUACCUGAGCAGUUUAUUAAUGCGAUUUGUUGUUAAGCAAUGUUAUGUAUCCUAAAUGACUCUAGAAGAAUGAGGCUGUAAAUGAAAAUGCUUGGCAUUAAAACCGUAUCAGCUCCGGUCCAAGCUUGUAACUGAGUAUUGGGUGGUUCUCAAUGGCUUCUGAUUUUCAGAAGCAAAAUCAGAAGGCAGAAAAACCUGCUAUGCUGCUUCCGAUUUUUCAGAUUUUUUGCCUCAAAAAAGGUGUGAACAGGUAUUGGAAAGCAAUUGAGAACUUUAAAAUAACAGCUUUUCCAGAAUCAAGAGCUACAAUCAGGUAUUGAAAAUCAAUUUAGAACAAAUCACUGUCCUUUAGACAAGUCCAAUAAUAAAACUCAAAACAACCCUCAAAAAAAAAAUUGAUCUUGAAGUUGACAUCCAAAAUGAUAACAAUUAUAAGCCCAUAGCUUUAGCAAGUUUAUAUUACAAAAAACCUUGCGUAGGUAAUCUCUGCUUAACUCUGCUGGGUUUACACCUGUAAAGUGAAAAAACACAAAAGACGGAAACCUGACAAUAAUUCAAAGUCUUGCAAAGGAGGGAAAAGGAAUAAGGAAAAUGUACUGUCUGUCUGAAAACUGUAUUUAAGUGCUGGAAGUGAAUGAAUCGCAAGUUUUUACAUUCAUCCUGAGCAAUAUGAUACUUUUCCGAUCAAUUGAUACACUAAGCACCAGUUCUUUUUUUUCCCACAAACCAAAAAAAAAAUCACUUAACUUUUUAAACAGAUAAAGCCAUGAAUGAAUUGUGAGUUUGUUAUAUUCAUCCAGUUCAACAUGAUACUUUUCCAAACAAAUAAUACACAAAGAACCAGUUAUUUUUUUAUAGAAACAAAAGAGAAUACCACUUAAUUUGUUGAACUGUUUAACAGUCUAGCUUUUUGUCACUCGGUAAUGUUUAAAAAAUAACUCAGACACACACACAACCUCCUCUCAUGCAGAAUGCCAAAAUAUCCCCUCUCAUACUGCCCCCCAACACCCCCCCCACCUUCUGUCUCUCAAAUACAAGAAAAAUUGUAUUAUGUUUCUGACAGUAUAUAUGACUGUUCAUCAGAACACCUUUGUUCUGAGGUCUAAUUAAAAUAAGUUCAUCAUAUGCUACUUAUUUACAUUUAUUAAUCAAAUAGCUUUCUCCUAUAAUAUUUGAUUACUCAUAUAUUAAUGGACCAACUAUGGCAUUCAAAAAGUAGAAGUCUAUUGAAAAAUAGAAAACUAAAUUAAAAGAAGAAGAAGAAGCAGAAGAAUAGCUAAUCAAGAAGAUAAAAUAAACACUAACAAUCUAAAUGAAAAGUAACGAAUAGCUAAUCAAGAAGAUAAAAUAAACACUAACAAUCUAAAUGAAAAGUAACAUUUAAAGAGAAGCUAACUGGACGUCUCAAAGAAAAUUCACAUACAGCAAUCAUUCUUAAGUUAAAUUGAAGUAUUUGCCACAUUGAUUUCUCAACUUAGGCUGCCAUAUUGGUUAACAGAAGGUUAUGGUUUCAUUUUUAUCAGCAACUUGAACUGCCAGCAUUUAAAAUAACUUCCAGAUUCCAAUGUUUCAGCUUUUAACUUUAGGCAAGAAUAUAAGCAAGUUCUCUUAGCAAGCCUAUCAACCACUGCCAACUUGUUGGAUAGAGAUCAGCAUGCCAAGGUGUUUCCAAAAGAGAAAUGCCCCCUAACCACUUAAUGUUCUUCAUUUUACUUAAAAAGCCAAUAAUCUAGCAGAGAAACCAAAUAAGCCAGAAAACAUUAAUGAUUACUACACAGUCAAGCUAAAAUCAGAGUUUCAGGUAGCGAAAAAGUUGCUUUUGCAGGCAAAUGGGAUUUACAUAGGUUGAAAAGAAUUAAAAUUAUGAUGACAACAGCAAAUAAUAAUAAUAAAUGCUUGAGUUUCAAGAAACAACAGCCUUCUACAUUCUCUUCAACCUAUGAGCAAACAAUACCAUAAUCCAAAGCUUAUAAGACACUCCAUGCUAAAACAAACUUAAUCAGCCCCAAAGAACAGGAUAUUAGUUAACAUAUAACACUUUGAAGUUUUCAUUCUUUUAACAAACUCAAGGAAAUUUGAACUUCCAACAAUGAUUUUACUCCGUCAUUCUUUGCAUGAACCACCUCCAAACAAUCCUUUUAAAUUCAAAUUGAGUGAAAUCCCAGUUUUCCUUUGAUUCCUUGUGUUCCUAAUCAACGUAAAGGAUGACAUUAUUUGUAUCAUUUACAGAAAAGGCUCAAAUGAUGACUCUAAUGAUAACAAAAGGAGUUCGGCUCACCAGUAAAAUUUAAAAACAAAAGAAGCCAAAGGAGAAAUAUGUAAACCUAAAUCACCCAGAAAACAAUGAUCCGAAGACAAAAUCCCUAAAUGAGGGUCAAGAAAAGUGCAAUAAAACAAAAUUAUAUACAAUUUUCUGUCUUCAAUUCUCAUCAGAUUCUAAGUCAAAUUCAACAAUUCCACUAAGUGCAGCAAGGAGAAACCACUUAUAUGGAUUUCCAAGUGUACUCCAAUAUUAACAACAUUCUGAAUACAAAGUAUGAAUGUGGAUGCAACUACCAAUUGAUAUACAUAAUAAAACCAUAAAACGUGGUAAAUCUACUCACAGAGUCUACACAUAUUAAGAAAACGAAAACAAGUUUUUAAAGGCCAAACGCAAGUCUACAUGCUAAGUAUUCUCUGUCUUUUCAACUCUACAAUCUAAAGUAGACGUUUCUACAAAAUCCAAUUAAAAAGGCAAAGAGGAGAAUAGUUACAUCUUAAAGGCCUUGAUGUAGAUGCUACCACCGGACCCGCCUCCUCCUUUGCUUCCUCCAUCACCACCGUCAGCGAGCAAGCUCCCAUUAACUUCCAAAAGCUUAAGCACUUUCAUUUGAAUUAUCCCACCUCCACCCCCACCAUAAUCCACCUCCCUGUUUGUUGUCCCACCUUUGCUCCCAUAGCUACAAGGAUCCUGCAAAUAUGACCACCCAUAUGCAUCCCCACCCCAUACAUCAUCUGGAAGCUUCUUCUGGUCCAACAAACAAGCCGCACCUCGUCCCCCAUAACCCCCACCAGCACCAUCCACCCCCUGGGGUGUCCCGCUCGUCUGGGGAGGAGGAUCACCGGCUAAACCAGUAGUAUUCACAACUGACCCAUUCGAAAAAGUAGCAUUAUCUGCCGUCAAAUCAAAAGUUCCAGCAAAAAUAGUCGAAUUCUGACCCAAAGUAAAGUUCCCAGAGACAUUUAUCACUAGCUCGCAACCCGGAAACAUGCAAUUAACCGUAAUAUUGGGAAGAAUAUUAAAAUUCCCCUUCCCUUGUAUAUACACGUUAUCACUGAUAUUCAAAUUAGAAACUAUAUUGCAAGUAGUAUCUAACGAACCAACUCCUCCGAGAUCAGCUUCGCAAGUCACCGACGGCGGAUGAGGAGGCGGUGGCGGUGGCGCCGGAGGUGAGUAAUCCCGGUGAAACAAGAAUGAAUCGAAGUCGCCGGAGUCGUCAUCUAAGUCAAAAUCGGCGUCUCCGCCACCGUCCUGGACUAAAGUACCAUAACCGCAGCUAGGAAUCGGAAGCAAGCCUAUUAUUAGUAUCACCACUAAGAGUAAAGUGAAAGAAAGUACAGACAUGUCAAAAGGUGAAGAAGACGCCAUUGACUGAUGAAGAUGGGAAUAUUCAUCAGAAAUGAUGGUUGGGAGAGGGAGAAAUGGAUUGCAUCGGUGGAAUUUUUUGCUCGAAAACAAAACCCACCAGAAAAGUUUAUUAGUUUUUCGUUCCAAAUGCGGUUUAACUGUUUGAUAUAUGCCGGUGCGGAUGGAAAAAAGUGGCGCUUUGGGAACGGAGAAUGCCCUAGAAAAAGGGGUUUCUGGUGAGGAGCCAAAGACAACUACUCCCUAGCGGAUUCUGCAGGGCGAAGAAAAGAGGGAGGCAGUUUUUGGGGAAAAUUGAACAUGAGGAAAGCAAAAGAGAGGGCAAUAAAGGUAAAGGGUUAAGGGGGCGACUGAUUACUGAUUAGAUAGGGGACU